rnacentral:lncRNA from 1 species
UUUGUGUUUGACGUUCCUAUUGUAAUUUGUCUUUGAAUAUCAACCAAAUGAAAGAUGUAGAAACUUGAUAGUAAUUCUUAAUAAAUAUCUAAUAGAAAUUUUAAAAAAAAAAUGUACAUUAUAUACUAUCUUUAAAAUUAUCUACUCUACUACAACUUGAAUUUUCUUCACGUCCAUCAAUAGGCCUUUAUUAAAUAUGAUAUAUCCAAGAAAUUCUACUUUUGGUAGAUGAAAUAUAUAUUUCUCUAAUUUGGUAUAUAAUCUUACUUCUCAUAAAUUUUGUAAGACUAAUCUCAUAUGUUCUUUAUAUUCUUCAAGAAUCUUAGAAUAGAUUAAAAUAUCAUCAAGAUAACAAAUAAAAAACUUGUCUAAAAUUUUUCAAAAAAUAUCAUUUGUUAAAUGUUGGAAUAUAAUUGGAGCAUUUGUCAAUAAAAAAUGUAUGAUAUUAUAUUCAAAAUAUCCAUUCUUUGUCUAUAAUGUUCUCUUCUAUUUAUCUCUUUUUUUAAUUUGUACUAAAUUAAAUGCUUUACAAAGAUCUAUUUUGAUACAAAUCUGGGCUUGAUCCAAUUGCUUCAAAAGCCUUGAUAUCAAUGGUAAUGGAUAAUGAUUCUUCACUACUAUCUUAUUGAGGCUACAUUAAUCAAUAUAUAUUUGCAAAGAUCCAUCUUUUUUCUUCAUAAAAAGAAUUAGUGCACUUUUUGGAGUUUUGAAAUAUCAAAUAAAGUUCUUUAUGAGAUUUUUGUCUAUGUAAUCUUUCAAUGCAAAAAGCUCAUUCUAUGAUAGGUUAUAGAUGCCACGGCCAUAAUCAUGUAAGCUAAUAAUUACAUAUAAAAAUAGGUAGAAGUAAGUAAAAGUAGAUAAAAGUAAGUUAAUUCUAUAAUAUUUAAUAUAGAAGCUUCCUAGAAACUUCCUAGAUGCUGCUUUGACUUCAUAGGUGUCUUUAAUUGACUUUUUGGAUUAGAAACGUGGUCAACAAGUUGGCCAUGUGCCACACAUGUUGUUAGCUUGAAGAUCAAGCUAACUAUGUGGCCCACACGUAGAAAAACUUGCCUUGUAAGUCAAGGCAUGUGUCCUACAAAGUCAACACAUAUUGGAGGUCCUAUAGAACGUCGCCACGUAGCCCCUAAUUAGAUAGUAUAUAUAGAGACAAGAGUGAAGGCUUCUUCACUCUUGUCAACUCCUUUCUUGCUUCUAGUCUAGUUUCAAGGGUCUCUAGUUUUCUUGUCUUUUGGCAAUAGCCAUUCUAGUUUCUCUUUUCAAUAUACAUACUUAUUAUUCAUAUUUUGUUACUUUUCUUUGAGUGAAGGCUUACUUGUCUGAACUGUUUUUUCAUCGAGUUCUUGUCCUUGACAAAUUGACAAGAGUGUACUUACAAUAUCAGAGCUUUGUUUUUCUUGAGUAAGAGUGGAUUACCCCUUUCUCUUGAUAAGGCAUAAGCGUAUUAGAAGUUUGCGGAUUACCCACUUCUAAACUGAUAUUGUUCUUAGUAUCUUCUUUGUUAUCAAGUCUUUCUUUUCUUUUGUCUUGAGCAGUAUCAAACAAAUUUUUCUUCUUAGUGUCAUUAUGGCAGAGCUUGUUGAAAUGAAGAGUGCAAUGGCAUAAAUGCUAGAGCAAAUGAGGGAGUUAAUGCUUGCGAUGCAUCAACUCAAUUCACCAACACAGGAAAUAACAAGAAUAGCAAAAAGUGGGGAUAUAGAGAUGACCGGAGCUACUUCAACAUCUACAACAAAUCACGUUCCUUCUCCAAUUGUACAACACCCUAUAAGCACUAGAGAACCAAGAAUUGCCUUACCCGAGAAAUUUGAUGGUACGAGAUCAAAGUUUCGAGGGUUCAUCAAUCAAGUACAAUUGGCAAUUGAACUUCAACCGCAAAGCUAUCCAACUCCAGGAUCACAAGUCAGGUUUAUUGGCACUCUACUUUCUGGUUCUGCAUUAUCGUGGUUUUCGUCUUUUCUUGAACAACGAAAUCCAAUAUUGGAUAAUUUGGAAGCUUUUUUGGUGGAGUUUCGAUCUAUGUAUGGUGAACACGAUGCAACUCGUGUUGCAACAAAUAAGAUCCGAAUUCUAUGACAAGGAAAUCGCUCAGUAACAGUGUAUGCUUCACAAUUUCGACAACUUGCAAUUGACAUCAAGUGGGAUGAUGCUGCAUUCAUUAGUCAAUUGCUUUAUGGUUUACAAUACAAAGUAAAGAAAUUGAUGCUCAACUUACCUGACCCUCAAACUUUGAGUCAAGCAAUCGAUUUUGCGGUAAAAUGUGAUAAUCGACUUUUCGAAUUUCGAUCCGAGAAUCAUUCACGGAAACCUCAAUGUUAUUACUCAAUGGCAACAUCAACAUCUUUACCAAACGUACAUUCGGAAGUAGAAGACAUGCAAAUUGACGCGGUAUGUUUUAAACCCCUAACUGAGCAAGAAAAGAUUCAUCGUCGUCAAGAAGGAUUAUGUUUAUAUUGCGGAGAAUCUAAGCACACUGCUCAACAUUGUCCAAAGAAACGACGCAACUAUAAAAUGAGGGGUACGACGGUCAAAGAAGACAACAUGUCAGAAAACGGAUUCAUCCAGCUCAAAUAAGGAUCGUGCAGCUGGAACCUUGUACAAUUCCUAAUGAAGGUCCUAUUCUCUCCUCAGAACCCUCUCUUUGUUUUAUAUAGACUUAUAUUUAGGACCUAAGAAUUACAAAGCCUCUGCUUUAUUAGAUUCGGGAGCCUCAGCAUGUUUUUUAGAUGAACAAUUUGUUAAAAGUCGUAAAAUACCCUUUGUACAGAAACCUAAACCAGUACAUGUAGAAGUCAUAGAUGGUCGUCCCUUGUCUUCUGGAGAUGUCACUCAUGAAACUCAUCCUAUAAAAGUAACAAUAGACGGUCAUGAUAGCUACAUAGCUUUUAACAUAAUUAAAUCCCCGUCCAAUCCAGUUAUUUUAGGUUUAUCCUGGCUAGAAAAAUAUAACCCUCGAAUAGAUUGGAAUUCACGUAAACUUGACUUUUCCCAGAGCAUUAUUAAUAGUUCUACCAACCAAGUAAAAAAUUAUAAGUCUAGUAUAGUAAAACUCGUACUGAUAGGUGCAAAAGCAUUUAUACACGCAGCAAAAGAAGGAUCAACUUUUGCUAUUUAUGCUGCACCUAUUUUUGAAAACGUAAAGACUUCAAGUGGCAUUCCAAGUCAAUAUCAGGAGUAUCAAGAUGUUUUUGAGAAAAAGAAUGCAGAUAUUCUUCCUGAGCAUCGCCCAUAUGAUUGUUCAAUCGACCUCAAGGAAGGAACUCAGCCACCAUUUGGACCAAUUUACAGUUUAUCGCAAGAUGAGAUGGCUGAACUCAAGACAUAUAUUGACGAGAAUUUAGCGAAGGAUUUCAUACGCCAUUCAAAAUCUCCAGCAGGAGCUCCAAUUCUAUUUGUAAAGAAAAAAGAUGGAUCUUUACGAAUGUGUGUUGAUUAUCGAGGACUCAACAAGAUCACAAUCAAGAACAGGUAUCCAUUACCUUUGAUAUCAGGACUCCUCGACCAGUUGAAUCAAGCUAAGAUCUAUACAAAAAUAGAUCUAAGACGAGCAUAUAAUCUAGUACGGAUCAAAGAAAGAGAUGAAUGGAAGACUGCGUUUCGAACCAGGUAUGGACAUUUCGAAUAUAAUGUCAUGCCCUUUGGACUCACGAAUGUACCAGCUGCUUUUCAACAUCUCAUGAAUGAUGUAUUUCGUGAAUUCUUAGAUAAUUUUGUCAUCUGCUAUCUAGACAAUAUCUUGAUCUAUUCUAAGAACGUCGAAGAACAUGAAAUAUAUGUUCGUCAAGUAUUACAAAAACUUAGAGAUGCAGGAUUGUAUGCUAAAAUGGAAAAGUGUGUAUUUCACACUACUCAAGUUGACUUUUUAGGAUACAUCAUUUCAAAUGAUGGUCUCAUGAUGGAUUCUAAGAAAGUCCAAACAAUCAUGGAUUGGAAGAUUCCAAGGACAGUAAGAGAUGUCCAAUGUUUAUUGGGAUUUGCCAAUUACUAUCGGAUCUUCAUCAAAGAUUUCUCAUGAGUUGCAGCUCCACUUACACGCUUGACUAGUAAAGAUAAAUCCUAAUGGAAUCAAGAAGCGGAAGCAACAUUUGAAGCCUUGAAGACAUCGUUUGUCUCUGCACCAGUCUUAUAUCGUGUUGACUUUUCCAAGGCAUUUUUUAUGGAAACAGAUGCAUCAGAUUUUGCCUUGGGUGCAGUUUUAUCACAAAUGGAAACAGAUGACAAACUUCAUCCGAUAGCUUUUCAUUCAAGAAAAUUCUCAGCAGUCGAGAUCAAUUAUGAGAUCCACGAUAAAGAACUUCUUGCGAUCAUGGAUUCCUUUCAAGAAUGGCAUCAUUAUCUAGAAGGCGCUUCUAGUCCAGUCACUGUGUAUACAGAUCACAAGAACCUCGAGUAUUUCAUGUCAGCACGCGUGUUGAAUCGUCGUCAAGCUCGUUGGAGUAUGUCUUUGUCAAGAUUCGAGUUCAUUAUCACUUAUCGGCCAGGAAAACAACAAGGUUUGUCUGAUGCCCUAUCUAGACGUUCUUAUUUUGCACCAAAAGAAGGAGAUGCAGCUUUUGAGCAACAAAGAACGGUCCUCUUGAAAUCGGAGCAAUUUCAUCUCCGAGCAAUGAAAUCAACAUUGACUGUUGAUUCAACUUUUCUCAAGCAAAUCCAGUCCAGUAUGUCCUUAGACCCUCUUAUUUAUGAUAUCGAGAAUAAUUCUUCCAAGUCUCAUGAUCCUUCUAAGUUCGAGUUCAAGAAUAAUCUAUUAUAUUUUGAAGGAUGCCUAUAUGUUCCAGAAGGAGAAGCACGUUUACGUGUUCUUCAAGCACGUCAUGACUUUCCAACAGCAGGGCACUUUGGAUAUAAUAAGACUUUGGAACUCAUAUCAAGAGAUUUUUGGUGGCCACAAAUGUGGAAGUCAGUCAAAGACUUUGUACAAUCAUGUGAUAUUUGUUCAAGAUCAAAAAUUCCUCGUCAUCGACCUUACGGACUUCUUCAGCCAUUACCUGUAUUAGAACAACCAUGGUCUUCUGUUUCUAUGGAUUUCAUCACAGAUCUUCCAAGCUCAAGAUCUUAUGAUUCUAUAUUUGUGAUAGUAGAUCAUUUCACCAAGAUGGCACAUUUUGUGCCAUGUACAAAAUCUAUCACAGGUGAAGAAACAGCUAAGCUUUUCAUUGAUAAUAUCUAUCGCUAUCAUGGAUUACCUAAAGAUAUCAUAUUGGAUAGGGGAACUCAAUUUGUGUCAAGAUUUUGGAGGACCCUUUUCAAGAUUUUAAAAGUGGACAUAAAGCUAUAUUCGGCUUUCCAUCCUCAAAUUGAUGGACAAACAGAGCGCGUAAACCAAGUCUUGGAGCAAUAUUUAAGGUGUACUAUCAAUUACCAACAAGAUGAUUGGACAACCCUUCUGCCAUUGGCAGAGUUUGCUUAUAAUAAUACGGUACAUUCUUCCACACAACAAACACCUUUCUUUGCCAAUUAUGGCUAUCAUCCACGACUUGAUACUUUUGAUUUUUCAAAAGUAGAUAAUCCUGCAGCAGAAGAUAUGGCAAAUCGGUUGUCAAAGUUACAUGCAAUAAUGAAGACGCAAUUGAAGGAAGCUCAAGAAUGACAAAAGAUAAACGCAGAUGUAUAUCAUAAAGAGCAAUCUGAAAUCAACGUGGGUGAUAAGGUAUGGCUACUUCGUCGCAAUAUCAAGACUACUCAACCUUGUGACAAGUUGGACUAUCGUAGGCUUGGCCCCUUUUCUGUUUCUGAACAGAUCAACCCAGUUGCAUAUCGGUUACAUCUACCGGAGUCAAUGAAGAUCCAUCAUGUAUUCCACGUGUCUCUUCUUGAACCAUAUAAGAUAGUGGAUAUACAAGGAAGAAGACAAAUGCCACCGCCUGCUAUAGAAGUAGAUAAUAAUGAAGAAUUUGAGGUGGAAGAGAUAUUAGACUCAAGGCGGUGCCGAAAUAAGCUGGAAUAUCUUGUUCAUUGGCACGGAUAUGAUAUUAGUGAACGCACAUGGGAGCCAUCCAGGAAUCUAGCAAAUGCAUCAGUUAAAGUCAAAGUUUUUCAUCAACGACAUCCAUCAAAACCAAGAUGAAAAUCUCUCUUAUAAAAGAGACAAGAUUGAGGUAAGAUAACAUUCAAUUUCUUAUCCUUGUUUGUAACUUCUUUGCAUUUGUGAUACUAAUUAGAUGGAGAGCCAACAACCAGCGGAUUCAACUCAAGAACCUUCGUUUGCUGACCUGCCGGACGAGACAUUACGAUUGUCACAACCUUCAAGACGACGUAAUCGAGAUGAAGAUCUUCAAGAACGACAUGUUCUUCCUCGAAUAGAUGGUGAGAUACAACGCGUUUGGUAUCACGAUUUGGGAAGGGACUCUCGAUGUUUGGUGAUUUUGCUAGAGGUAGGAACAACUCUUGAUGGUGUUCCGAAUAUUCUAUUCGAAGGAAGUUACGAAGGCCUCAACAAUGAUCAAAUAACUGGGUGGUCUUCCCGCCCUGGUAUGGGACACUACCGAUGGUUGAGAGGCCCUAUCAAUCAUCUUCGAAGAGAACAGAGAUCAGAGUAUGUGGCGAAUACAAUUCGUCGCAUCAUAGAUUUUCUCAACAUAUGAUGACCGCUCCUCGUGGAACUCGUCUCUAGUAGGGGGGGUAAUGUCACGGCCAUAAUCAUGUAAGCUAAUAAUUACAUAUAGAAAUAGGUAGAAGUAAGUAAAAGUAGAUAAAAGUAAGUUAAUUCUAUAAUAUUUAAUAUAGAAGCUUCCUAGAAACUUCCUAGAUGCUACUUUGACUUCAUAGGUGUCUUUAAUUGACUUUUUGGAUUAGAAACGUGGUCAACAAGUUGGCCAUGUGCCACACAUGUUGUUAGCUUGAAGAUCAAGCUAACUAUGUGGCCCACACGUUGAAAAACUUGCCUUGUAAGUCAAGGCAUGUGUCCUACAAAGUCAACACAUAUUGGAGGUCCUAUAGAACGUCGCCACGUAGCCCCUAAUUAGAUAGUAUAUAUAGAGACAAGAGUGAAGGCUUCUUCACUCUUGUCAACUCCUUUCUUGCUUCUAGUCUAGUUUCAAGGGUCUCUAGUUUUCUUGUCUUUUGGCAAUAGCCAUUCUAGUUUCUCUUUUCAACAUACAUACUUAUUUAUUUAUAUUUUGUUACCUUUCUUUGAGUGAAAGAUCACUUGUUUGAAUUAAUUUUUCAUCGAGUUCUUGUCCUUGACAAUAGAUUGGGCCAAAUGAUAAUUGAGUCUUUUCUUGAAAAUCAAUGGCACAAUUAUAUGGUUGAUGCUUCAAGAAUAUGUCAAUAUUUUUCUUUUUAAAGACAUCUUGAAACUCCUUAUAUUAUUUUGGAAUAGCUACUAACAAGCUUUCUUCUUCACAAGUUGAAAUUGCAUAAAUGACAAAUGAUAUUUCCUUCUUAGUUGUCUUUAUUAAAGCCCUUGUUCCAAAAAUUAAAGGCUUUACUCUUGAUGAUUUUUUAAUAGGUCUUGCCUAAAAAUAUUCUAUGUGAAUUUCAAUCUUAUAAAAUCUCCAAUCUAUAAAUGGAUUAUAUCUUUUCAAUCACAAAAGUUCUAAAAUAAUAUGAUUUGAUAAAAUUCUAAUAAUAUCAAAUAUUAUUUUAUUACUAUGGCCUUUAAAUAAUAAUUCUAGUAAUAUGGUCUCAUGAAUCACAUUACCUUAAGAAAAAGGUUGACCAUCUAUUAUUUCUACAUGUAUAAGUUUUGACUUCUAUAUUAGAAGAACUUUAUGAAGUUUAAAAAACUUGUCAUUUAAAAAAUAAGCAGAUGUUCUUGAAUCUAUUAAGAUAUUUAUUUGUAGGUUAAGAAAUAAAAAUAUAAUAAAAUAAUAAACAGGUUAGGCAGAUAUCAUGGACAUAUUCAUGUAAGCUAGUAAUUACAUAUACAAAUAGGUGGAAGUAAGUAAAAAUAGGUAAAAGUAAGUUAAUUCUAUAGUAUUUAAUAUAGAAGCUUUUUAGAAGCUUUAUAGACGCUGCUUUGACUUCAAAGGUGUCUUUAAUUGACUUUUUAGAUUAGAAACGUGGUCAACAAGUUAACCAUGUGCCACAUAUAUUGUUAGCUUAAAGAUCAAGCUAACUAUCUGGCCCACACGUAGAAAAACUUGCCUUGUAAGUCAAGGCAUGUGUCCUACAAAGUCAACACAUACUGGAGGUCCUAUAGAACGUCGCCACGUAGCCCCUAAUUAGAUAGUAUAUAUAGAGACAAGAGUGAAGGCUUCUUCACUCUUGUCAACUCCUUUCUUGCUUCUAGUCUAGUUUCAAGGGUCUCUAGUUUUCUUGUCUUUUGGCAAUAGCCAUUCUAGUUUCUCUUUUCAACAUACAUACUUAUUUAUUUAUAUUUUGUUACCUUUCUUUGAGUGAAAGAUCACUUGUUUGAAUUAAUUUUUCAUCGAGUUCUUGUCCUUAACAGAUUGACAAGAGUAUACCUACAAUAUCAGAGCUUUGUCUAAUCUUGAUUAAGAGUAGAUUAUCCUUUUUUUUGAUAAGAUAUAAGCAUAUUAGAAGUUAUGGAUUACCCUCUUCUAAACUGAUAUUGUUCUUAGUAUUUUCUUUGUUCUCAAGUCCUCUCUUCUAUUUGUCUUUAGCGAUAUUAGACAUCUUCUCUUUCCUAAGUGUUAUCAUGGUAGAACUUGUUGAAAUGAAGAGUGCAAUGGGACAAAUGCAAGAGCAAUUGAAGGAGUUAAUACUUGAAAUGCAUCAACUUAAUUUAUCACAACAAGGAGCAACAAGAUUGGUAAGAAGUAAAGAUAUAGAAAUGGUUGGAGCUGCUUCAAUAUCUGCACCAAACCAUGUCCCUUCUCCUAUGGUGGAACUCUCUUCCAGUGUUAGAGAACCAAGAAUUGCCCUACUUGAGAAGUUUGAUGGCACCAGAUCUAAGUCUCAAGGACUUAUCAAUCAAGUGCAACUUGUGAUUAAACUUCAAUCCCAAAGCUAUCCAAAUCUAGGAUUGCAAGUUAGAUUCAUUGGUACGCUUCUUUCAGGUUCAGCACUAUCGUGGUUUUCAUCUUUUCUUGAACGACAAGAACCAAUAUUAGAUAAUCUAGAAGCUUUUUUGGCAGAUUUUUGAACUAUGUAUGGAGAACAUGAUGUAAUUUGUGUUGCAACCAAUAAGAUCCAUAUUUUAUGACAAGGUAAUCGAUCAGUAACGUUGUAAGCUUCACAAUUUUGAUAACUUGCAACUAAUAUCAAGUGGGAUGAUCAUGCAUUUAUUAGCCAAUUUUUCUACGGAUUAUAAUAUGAGGUAAAAAAAAUUAAUGCUCAACUUAUCUGAUCCUCAAACAUUGAGUCAAGCAAUUGACUUUGUUGUAAAGUGCAACAAUUGUCUUUUUGAAUUUCGAUCAAAGAAUCGUACAAGUGGACCUCAACGUUAUUAUAAUUCAAUGGCAAUACCAAUACCUCUUCAACACAUACAUUCAAAAGUAGAGGAUAUACAAAUUGAUGCAGUACGUUUCAAACCUCUUACUGAACAAGAAAAGACUCAUCGUCGUCAAGAACGAUUAUGUUUAUAUUGUAGAGAAUCAAAAUACACUGCUCAACAUUGUCGAAAGAAAUGACGCAACCACAAAAUGAAGAGUAUGGCUGUCAAAGAAGACAAUAUGUCAAAAAAUGAGUUUGUCUAGCUACAAUAGAGAACGUGCAGCUGGAACCUUGCACAACAUCUAGUAAAGGUCCUAUUCUCUCCUCAGAGCCCUCUCCUUGUUUUACAUUAAAUGUUAUUUUAGGACCUAAAUAUUACAAAGCCUCUGCCUUGUUAGAUUCAGGAGCCUCGACGUGUUUCUUAGAUGAAGAAUUUACUAAAAGACAUAGCAUAUCUUUAGUAAAGAAAACUAAACCUGUUCAUAUAGAAGUCAUAGAUGGUCGUCCAUUGUCUUCUGGAGAUAUUACUCACAAAACCCUUCCUAUAGAAGUAAUAAUCAAUAGUCAUAAUAGCUUUGUAGUAUUUAAUAUCAUUAGAUCUCCCUCUAAUCUAGUCAUUUUAGUUUAUCGUGGUUAAAAAAAUACAACCCUCAAAUAGAUUGGAUUUUCUAAACUCUUACUUUCUCUAAAAGUAUAACUAAAAGUGUAGUUAAUCAAGUAGAGAGUCAUAAGUCCAGUUCAAUUAAAUCCAUAUUUAAAGGUGUAAAAGCUUUCUUGCAUGCUGCUAUGAAAGAUUUACCAUAUAUUAUUUAUGCCACACCUGUUUCUAAUGGUGGAAAGACUUCAAGUGGCAUUCCAAGCCAAUAUCGAGAAUUUUAAGAUGUAUUUGAAAAAAAAAAUGUGGAUAUACUUCCAGAACAUCGUCCCUAUGAUUGCUCAAUUGACCUUCAAGAAGGAGCACAACCGCCAUUUGGACCAAUCUAUAGAUUAUCGCAAAAUGAGUUGGCUGAACUCAAGGAGUAUAUUGAAGAAAAUCUAGCCAAGAAUUUUAUACGCCAUUCUAAAUCUCCGCCAGGAGCUCCAAUUCUAUUUGUGAAAAAAAAAGAUGGAUCAUUGCGGAUGUGUGUUGAUUAUCGAGGACUCAACAAGAUUACCAUCAAGAACAGGUAUCCACUAUCAUUAAUAUUUGGACUUCUUGAUCAACUGAAUCAAGGUAAGAUCUAUACAAAAAUAGAUCUUUGGGGAGCAUACAAUCUAGUACUCAUCAAAAAAGGAGAUGAAUGAAAGACUGUGUUUCGAACUAGAUAUGGACAUUUUGAAUACAACGUCAUGCCUUUUGGACUUACAAAUGCACCAGCAGCUUUUCAACAUGUAAUGAAUGAUAUUUUUUGAGAGUUUUUGGACGAUUUUGUGGUCUGUUAUCUAGACGACAUCUUGAUCUAUUCUAAGAAUCCAAAAGAACAUGAACUUCAUGUUUGUCAUGUAUUACAAAAAUUAAGAGAUGCAAGACUCUAUGCCAAGAUAGAAAAGUGUGUGUUCUACACUACUCAAGUCAAUUUCUUAGAUUAUAUCAUUUCAAAUGAUGGACUUAUGAUGGAUCCUAAGAAAGUUCAAACUAUUAUAGACUGGAAGAUCCCAAAAACGAUAAGACAUGUCCAAUGUUUUUUGGGAUUUGCCAACUACUAUCGGAUCUUCAUCAAAGACUUCUCUCGAGUUGCAGCUCCACUUACAUGUUUGACUUGUAAAGACAAACUCUAAUGGAAUCAAGAAGCGAAAGUUGCUUUUGAAUCUUUGAACACAACAUUUGUUUCUGUACCAAUCUUGUAUCAUGUUGAUUUUUCCAAAGUAUUCUUUAUGGAAACAGAUGCAUCAGACUUUGCUCUGGGUACGGUUUUAUUACAACUGGGAACAGAUGACAAACUUCAUCCAGUAGCCUUUCAUUCAAGAAAAUUUUCAGCAGCAAAAAUCAAUUAUGAGAUCCAUGACAAAAAACUUCUUGCAAUUAUGGAUUCUUUUCAAGAAUGCUGUCAUUAUCUAGAAGGUACUUCGAGUUCAGUCACCGUAUAUACGAAUUAUAAGAACCUCAAGUGAUUUAUGUCAACAUGCGUAUUAAAUCAUCGUCAAGCUCAUUGGAGCAUGUCUUUAUUAAGAUUCAAGUUCAUCAUUACUUAUCGGCCAAGAAAACAACAAGGUUUGUCCGAUGCCUUGUUUAGACGUUCUUAUCUUGUACCAAAAGAAGGAGCUGCAGCUUUUGAGUAACAAAAAAUGGUUCUCUUGAAGCCGGAGUAAUUUCACCUUUGAGCAAUAAAAUCAACAUUGACUGUUAAUUUAACUUUUCUUAAGCAAGUCCAAUUAAGUAUGUCUUCAGACCCUCUUGUUCAUGAUAUCAAGAAUAAUUCUUUUAAAUCUCAUGAUCCCUCUAAAUUUGAAUUUAAGAACAACCUAUUCUAUUUUGAAGGAUGCCUAUAUGUUCUAGAAAGAGAAGCACGUUUAUGUAUUCUUCAAGUUCGUCACGACUUCCCAGCAGUAGGACAUUUUGGAUAUAAUAAGACUUUGGAGCUGAUAUCUAGGGAUUUUUGGUGGCCUCAAAUGUAAAAGGCAGUGAAAGAUUUUGUAUAUUCAUAUGAUGUUUGCUCAAGAUUAAAAACUCCUUGUCAUCGACCUUUUGGACUUCUUUAGCCAUUACCAAUUCUAGAACAACCAUGGUCUUUUGUUUUUAUAGACUUCAUCACGGAUCUUCCAAUCUCAGGUUCUUAUGAUUCUAUAUUCGUGAUAGUAGAUCAUUUUACCAAAAUGGCAUAUUUUGUACCAUGUACAAAAUCUAUCACAAGUGAAGAAACAGCUAAGCUCUUUCUUGACAAUAUCUAUCACUAUCAUGGAUUAUCUAAAGAUAUUAUAUUUGAUAGGAGAACUCAAUUUGUAUCAAGAUUUUGGCGGACUCUUUUCAAGAUUCUAAAAGUGGAUAUAAAACUAUCUUCGACAUUCCAUCGUCAAACUAAUGGACAAACGGAGCGUGUUAAUCAAGUUUUGGAGCAAUAUUUAAGAUGUACCAUUAACUACUAAUAAGAUGAUUGCACAACUCUUUUGCCAUUGGUAAAAUUUACUUAUAAUAAUACAGUACAUUCUUCUACAAAACAAAUACCUUUUUUUGCUAAUUAUGGUUAUCAUCCAUGACUUGAUAUUUUUGACUUUUCAAAAGUUGAUAAUCUUGCUGCAAAAGAUUUGGUGAUUCAUUUGUCAAAGCUACAUGUAACAAUGAAGGUGCAGUUAAAAGAGGCUUAAGAACAACAAAAGGUGAAUGCGAAUAUCUAUUGAAAGGAACAACCACCAUUCCACUUAGGUGAUAAGGUAUGGCUACUUCGUCACAAUAUUAAGACCUCUCGUCCUUAUAAUAACUUGGACUAUCGAAGGCUUGGACCAUUUUCUAUUUCUGUACAAAUCAAUCCAAUUGCAUAUCGUUUACAUCUACCGAAGUCAAAAAAAAUCCAUCUAGUAUUCCACAUGUCUCUUCUUGAACCAUACAAGACAGUGGACAUACCAAGAAGACAAUAAGCUCCCCCUCCUCCUAUAGAAGUGGAUAAUAAUGAAGACUUUGAAGUAGAAGAAGUCUUAGAUUCAAGGCAGUGCCAAAAUAAAUUAGAAUAUCUUGUCCAUUGGCAUGGAUAUGAUAUUAGUGAAUGCACAAGGGAGCCAAUAAAGAAUCUUGCAAAUGCAGCAAAGGCGGUAGAGGCUUUUCAUUGACAACAUCCAUCAAAAUCAAGAUGAAAACCUUCCUUAUAAAAGAAAGAAGAUCUAGGCAAGAUAACAUUCUACUUUCAAUCCUUGUUUGUAGCUUCUUUGUAGUUAUGACACUCAGGAGAAGGAGAACCAACAACCAGCAGAUUCGACUCAAAAGCCUUUAUUUGUUGACCUGUCGGACGAGACAUUACGAUUGUCACAACCUUCAAGAUGACGCAAUCGAGAUGAAGAUCUUCAAGAAUGACAUGUUCUUCCUCGAAUAGAUGGUAAGAUAUAACGUAUUUGGUAUCACGAUUUGGAAAAGGACUUCCGAUGUUUGGUGAUUUUGCUAGAGGUAGGAACAACUCCUGAUGGUGUUCCAAAUGUUCUAUUUGAAGGAAGUUAUGAAGGCCUCAACAAUGAUCAAAUAACUGGGUGGUCUUCCUGCCCUAGUAUGGGAUACUACCGAUGGUUGAGAGGCCCUAUCAAUCAUCUUCAAAGAGAACAAAGAUGAGGGUGUGUGGCAAAUACAAUUUCCAUCAUAGAUUUUCUUAACAUAUGAUGAGUGCUCCUUGUGGAACUCGUCCCUAGAAGGUGGGAUAAUGUCAUGGACAUACUCAUGUAAGCUAGUAAUUACAUAUAUAAAUAAAUGGAAGUAAGUAAAAGUAAGUAAAAGUAAGUUAAUUCUAUAGUAUUUAAUAUAGAAGCUUCCUAAAAACUUCAUAGACACUGCUUUGACUUCAUAGGUGUCUUUAAUUGACUUUUUGGAUUAGAAACGUAGUUAACAAGUUAACCAUGUGCCACACAUGUUGUUAGCUUAAAGAUCAAGCUAACUAUGUGGCCCACACAUAGAAAAACUUGCCUUGUAAGUCAAGGCAUGUGUCCUACAAAGUCAAUACAUAUUGGAGGUCCUAUAGAACGUCGCGACAUAGCCCCUAGUUAGAUAGUAUAUAUAGAGGCAAGAGUGAAGCCUUCUUCACUCUUGUCAAUUCCUCUCUUGUUUCUUGUCUACUUUCAAGUAUCUCUAAUUUUCUUGUCUUUUGGCAAUAGCCAUUCCACUUUCUCUUUCAAUAUACAUACUUGUUUAUUUAUAUUUUUUUACCUUUCUUUGAGUGAAGGAUCACUUGUCUGAAUUGCUUUUUCAUCGAGUUCUUGUCGUUGACAGCAGAGAGAGAAGAAACUUGAUGAAUUUGAGAUAUUAGAAUGUUUAGCUGCAUGGUCCCUAUUGUCGCUAGACUUCUUUAUUUUCUUGAACAACCAUACUCUUAGUCUUGGUUUUUUAUUCUUCCUUAGGACAAUUUCCAAAUUUAUGGCCAUCUUUAUUAUAAUAUAAGCAUUAACCUUGUUCAAAUUGAUGCUUCUUUUUUUCUAUUGUAAGAAAUUUGAAGUGCACUACAUCAAUUUGUAUAUCUUCAAUUCCAGAAUGUAAAUGUAAUAUAUUUGUUGAAGCAACAAAAUACAAAUUUAUACUAUAUUGCUUUGUCAAAAUGCACAAGUAUUGAUCUUGAUGGCUUUGAUUGAACAAUUAUCAUACUUUAUAGCUUGAUUGAUAGCUUCAUUGAGUAUUUGAGGAUCAAGCAAUGAUAACAAUAUGAAUUUAGAAGUGGGUAUUCUCCAACUUCUAAAACGCUUAGAUACUUUUAAGAAAAGUGGUAAUCAACUUUCUAUUAAUAAGGAUCAAGCUCUAAUAUUGAUAAGAGGGUAGUUUCAACAAAUUCUCAGAAGUAUAUUAUAUGGAAGACCAAAAAAGAAGUUGAAAAAAAAAAUUCAACAAAAAAACUAGCAAGAACUUGAUUAAACUAGAUGAAUAUAAGAUCAAUACCAAGAAAGAUGAGCUAGAACUCUAAGAAAUGUAUUGUUGACACUGAGGAUUUUCUUAGCCUCAAUUCCAAUAAAUAUUAGGUAUUAGGAAGCUUCUUGAGAAGUAAUUUUGUUUUUUGAAGACAAAACAACUUUAAGAAGCUUUUCAAGAAGUUCCUACAUUGCUUGAAGAUGAAGCAAUCUUAUGAAGCUUCUCAAACAACUUCUUUAAUUCUUCUAGAACUUUCUAAAAUCUAUUGAAAUAUUUUAAGAACCUUCUAAAACUUUCUAGAAAUAUUUUUAGAAUCUUUUAGAGCCUUUUAAAAUCUAAUAGAAUAUUCUAAUAAUAUUUCUAAAAUCUUCUUAUUAAAUAUUUGUAAUAAAAAAUAAGUAGAUAAUAUAUUUUUUAAAAACAACAAAGAUUUUUUUUAAAUAUAAAUUAGAUUUGAUGGUACAUCAUGUGGUUACAAUAGCAUAUCUAUAAAAUUUCUACUUCCAAAAAGUUAAUAUAGAAGCAUCAAACAACUUAAAUACUUACUUAGUGUUGAGAUCAUUAAAUGUAGCUAGCGCUCUCCAUAAUACUUACUGUAGACUACAGUAAAUAUCAUAGCUACAAUAUUUAGAGUCUAGUGGAGAAGUACUGUUUAUCCUCUCUCCUUUUCUCUUCUUGUAUACGAGAGACAACCAGAUCAAUAAAAUUUUUAUGUGUGAAGCUCUCUCUUCUUAGAAACCUUCUUGUAUGUAUGACUUACUACUACUUUUGUGUGUGUGUAUUACUCACUAUUACUCUUGUAUCUUUCUAAACAUUCUUAACACGUUAUCAGCAUGACUCUCUUCUACACACUAUCACAAUUUUUUUUGCUCUAGUCUUGACUUUUCUUGCUACUUUUGCUCAGUGUUUGCCUCAUGAUCUUGUUGCUCUUCUUACUGGCCCCUCACACAUUAGCUGCUUGCUUAGAAUACUUGUUCUACUCUUUGACUUACUUGCUUAGAAUACUUGAUCUAGUCCAGCUUCACCUUGCUCAUGCUGCGUCCAACGCCUGCCACAAAACUACUGCCACUGCCAUCCUACCACCGCUCACAUUGACACUCCCACUGCAAUCUAUCCUGCCAUCACUGACGCUGUCGCCCAGCUUGCCGUUGCUACCGUUGCUACCCGCUGAAUCUUAUAUAUAUAUAUAUAUAUAUAUAUAUUUCAAGUUCAAGUUUAUGAUUUUAUUUGACUUUAUAUUUUAAGGUAUGUUUUACUCAACUUUUCUACUUGAUUUUGUAUUUUAUUUAUAGAUUUACUUAUAAUGAAUGCUUCAACAUCUUCAAUUGCUUGUACUAUGGUUCCAACCAUUACUAGUGCAUCCUAAUAUUUUCAAGCUUUUUUAUUUCUACCAUUGAAUGUGGAUAGAAACAAUUAUCUAUUAUGGGCAAAAAUGGCAAAAGCAAAUUUAAUUGCAAAACAACUCUCGGAUGCUAUUAUGUUUAAAGAAUCUCUUACAAUAAGUAUUUCUAUUUCUUCUUCUAUUCGUUGAAAAGUACUUCUCCUUUGUCAUCAUCUUGUACCUGCAUUAUAACUUCAAUACUGGGAAAUGGAAGAUCCUGCAGAACUUUGGAAGAAUCUUAAAUCCAAGUUUGAUCAUCGAAAGACCAUUUUUCUUCCAUACACACAUCAUAAUUGGACACAUUUACAUGUCUUAGAUUUUUCAAAUUUAAAUGCUUUCAAUAGUGAAAUAUAUUGUAUUGUCUCAGAAUUAUGAUUAUGUGGACAAAGCAUCUCUAAAGAAGAAAUAAUUGAAAAAAUUCUCUCUACAUUUCUUUCUAUAUUUGUUGUGCUUGCACAACAAUAUAGGAAUAUAAAAUUUCAGACUCAUUUUGAUCUCAUGUCCUAUAUACUUCUUGUAGAGAAGUAAAAUAAGUUAUUCUUGCAUAAUGCGGAAGCUUGUCCUAUUGGAACUACAGUUCCAAAAUCUCAUGCACUUAAUAUUUUAAAAUCUAAGAAAAAAUUAUAUAAACAUAGAAAACGUGCUUAUAAGUAUUAGGGUAGUCAUAGUCAUGACCAUUUCUACCUAUAUGAAAAGAAUUAACGUUCUACUAUUAAUUGUAGUAGAAAACAAAAAUCAGAGAUGCAUUCUUGCUAUAAGUGUGGAAUGAUUGGACAUUUAGCACAUGUGUGCCGUACUUCAGAAUAUUUUAUUAAAAUAUUCCAAAAAAAUAAAAAACUACGAGCUGAGGCUCGUGAAGUUUAUACCAUGGAUGAGUCCAUGGAUUCAAUUGGUGUUAAUGACUUAGAGGCUUAUAUGAAUGACAAAAUCUCUAAUGAUGAAUCAAAUGAUGCACUCAUUGAUUUUGCACUAACACAUACUAUCUUGCGAGAUAGAUGAUUUUUUAUUGAAAAAUCUUCAACUUGGUAAACUAAAAAUAUAAUGACUAUGGCUGGAACAAAUGCAUUUUGUUUCCAAGAAGGCACAAUGAUGGUAAAAUUACUUGCGAGUUCUAUCAUAAAAUAUAAGCAUGUGAUGUUUGUACCCUCAGCACCUCGGAGUCUGAUCAACUAUCGAGAUGUGCGUAUUAAUGGUUAUCACCUCUCAACUGCUAUUUUAAAUAGAAAAGAGAUUUUGGUUCUUGCGAAGAAUCAUAAAGUUAUUGAAAAAGCUUAUGCUAUAGAAAAUGGUUUAUACCGAAUUGUGAUUCGGCCUUCUGUGAUAUUUAAUUUUGUAUCAUCUAUCACAGAGAGUCGUGUUUCUUUCUAGAAUGGACGAUUGGGACAUCCAAGAUCCACAUUAUUUAGAAAGAUCAUUCCAUGUAUAACUGGGCACAAUUUAAAGCCUACGGAUAUAGAGUCUAUGAAAUUAUGUUGUGCAUACGUAUAAGGUAAAAUGAUUAUUCAGCCUUCAAUUUGAAAACUUCUAUAAGAAUUACCACCAAUUCUUGAAAGAUUACAUGGUGAUAUUUGAGGUCCUAUUAAUCCAAUAUUAAGACUAUUUCGUUAUUUCUUCGUCUUUGUUGAUGCAUCAGGUAAAUAAUCACAUAUUUCAUUAUUAUCAACUCAAAACAUAGUGUUUGCCAAUCUUAUAUCUAUGCAUAUUUAUUUUCAAGCUUAUUUUCCUGAUUAUCUUAUAAAAACAUUACCUAUGGAUAAUGUAAAAGAAUUCGCAUCAAAGUCUUUUGAAGACUAUUGUACUACAACAAGAAUUGAGUUGACAUAUUGUAUUCCAUAUGAACAUACUCAAAAUGGACUUGCAGAGUCAUUUAUAAAGCGUAUACAACUCAUUACUCGGCUACUGUUCCUUCAUGCAAAUUUACCUGCAUCUAUGUGGGAUCAUGCAGUUUUACAUGCUGUAGCAUUAAUAUGCUGUUGACUUGUAACAUGACUAUAUGGUAAAAAUAUAAAUGAAAAAGAUAUUAUUAAUAUUUAGUCAUCUUGGAUAUUAAAAAUAGUGGCCAAUUCUAGUGCCAAUAUUCAGGGUCAGUUAAUAUCAUCCCACCAGCGUCAUCAAACCAAGUACCCUCCGUACCAACGAGACAACCAAGAUCAUUUUUCAACCCUAAAUGGAACAAGCCUAGUAGGUAUAUACCAAUGGAGACAUCCAAUAUGCAUGAUGGAGGUGCAGGAAGACCACUUCGUCAUUUUUGUUGAAGACAGGUUGAUCAUUAUGCCAGUGAAUGUUCUAAUCUCAAAGCCAGUGAUGAUUACGCAUUAGUGUAUAGGAAUUAUAAGUAGCCGAGGCAUACUUAUCUGCAAUGUAAUGCUCCAUCCAAUUUCAAUAAACAGGAUCAGUAAAUCCAAAGCCAAGAAAAAAUUGAGGAAAUAAAUCAAGGUCCUUAAGAUUCUUUGGUAAAUCGGGUGGAAUGAGUCCGAGCCAUUCUUACCAAGAGUCGGCAAAAGGAGAAAGGAUCAAUUCAAAAUUUGGGUGACUCUGAUGUGAAGGGCCAAUUUGAUCCAAUUACGGGGACAUCCAAUCCAGGACUUGGUAUGGCCCUCUUAGCCAAUAGGAGACCUGACUUGGUUGGGCAACCCAAUGAGGUUCCGAAUAUGGAGUCUUCGGUUCCAUUUCAAGCUGUUCCGUUGUUGGGGUAGAGAGAGUUUGCCUCAAAAAAAUGUUGGGCUUCUAGCUAUCACUAAUUAUUCAAUCAAGCUUGAAAAUAAGAGAAGUCCUAAUUUUAUAUAUAAUUUUUCUCUUUUUGAGUAAUUACACCAAAUACACAAUCCUCAAGUAAUUUACAACUUCCAGAAUAUGAUAAAAUCUCUAAAACGUUGUUUAUUCUUAUAUGGAGAUUUUUUUGAACUUCAACACCUCAUAUCUCCUAAUCUGACUGUCCAAACAAAUUCAAAUUUUACAUGAAGUACUGAUGUAUUCUUAUUAACUUUUAUAACAAUUUUCAACUGCAAAUUCGUUGCAAAACUUGAGAUAUCUUGAAAACCCUAACAGUCGCUUCAAACCCUUAUCUUUAUAUAUCCACGUACAAUUUUUUUCAUAUCUCACAAAAUAUAAGCUUAAAUACUACGAAAUUUGUAUGUAUAGCUUUUUAACACAAAAUUUUAUAUUCUCCAAAAAGUUUGAACCAAAAAUUUGUCCGAAUACUCAAGUUAUGGUUCCAACCAUUACUACAAACAAACCCACUUACUUACUGCUUUUGAUUUGGAAGCACUGCCUUGAAUUCCUUAUAACUCCUUCAUAUGAACUCCAAAAGCAAUAAUUCUUUCAUGAAAGAUGUAGGCUUUAGAAUCGCCAUUCCAAUUGCACCUUUUGAACUUAGAAAUGUGGUGUAAAACUCCUCAUAUCCUCAAAUGAGUAAUAGUAUGGCUUAAAUUAAUACCUCAACUUCAAACGACUAUAAUUUCUUCAUCCUAACUUCGAAUCCUCUAAUUUUUGUAUAAAAAUUGUAUCGCAAAUCCUAAAAUUUACAAAUAUUACUUGUAAUCUCCGAAUGCCUUCUUUGAAGUCACCGAAACUCUUGUUAAGGUCGUGGGCAGCCUCCUCAAAGUCCAUUGGGCAUGGUAUUCGACCAAUAGCGAUGAAGUUUUCCAUUCCUUGCCUUCAUACAACCAUACUUUGCUUUCAUCCCUCCCAAAUAGCCUCCUACUAGUUUAGAUUUUCAUCCUUAGGCUUUCAACUUCUCCCAAGACUUCAUAUUAAAUAUUUAGGUCCUAUAUAUUUAUAUAUAUAUAUAUAUAUAUAUAUAUAUAUAUAUAUAUAUUUUUAAUAUUAAAAUCAAAACAAGUAAAGAAACAAAGUAAAGUUACUUAUAUCAAUUUCUUUUAAUUUAAUCUACUAGCCACUCUAACAUACUUCUAGAUUUAUUAACAUAGAAUAUAUUUUAACUAAUUUUUACAUACUGUAAGCAUUCUCAAGCAAGAAAGCACGUAAUAUGAUAUAAGUGGUGAACCCGACGUGAAAGCUUGAAGUAGAAGAUAUUGGAUUUUGUUUAUUUUUAUUUUAUUUUGUAGAGAAUGAGAAUACAAAUUUUGAAGGAUCUUUGGGAGGAGCUUGAAGUGGAGCUUCUAGUAGAGUUUCUUCUAAAAGACAGGGUAUGUACAUGGAUCCAUCUAUUGCUAGUAUGUUUCAAGCCUUAUCAUUAUCUAUGCAACAACAGCAAAGCAAUGAUCACAAAGAAGCUUUAGCAACCAAAGCUUUGCAAGCAGUAGUCAAUAAAAUUGACCAGUUUGAUGGAAGGGAUAUUUCAAAGUAUUUAAGAUGUUAUGUUUGAGAAAUAGAAUUAAAUCAGGUUUUUGAAAAGAAGAUGGUUGAAUUAUUUGGACUAGCCACGAUACCGGAGAUAAGAGAACAUAUUACCUCAAUUAUGGAGCAUUAUGGAAAUUCAUGGGAGAUUUUUUCACAUGCAUUAAAAGACGAAUAUUUCUUGAAGGACAUUGAUCGUAUUAUUAAAAAACUAUUUCUAGAAUGGAUUGAGCGGCCUAAUAAGAAUUUACAAGCAAUAGAGCUACUAAAGAAAUUUGAGAGGCAGUAUUCUCAAUUAUCGAAGGUAGAAAAAUUGACAUUAGAGCCGAACAAGGUUGAAUUAUUUCUUCAAGCUGUUGAUGGAGAAUAACAAGGGAAAUUGGUAUUGCAUCUUAAAAACAAAGAAGAAGAUGAAGGAUUGACAACAAAGUGGAAAAAUAUUGAAAAUGGAGUGGAUUUGCUUGCAAAAAGAGAAAGGAGGAAGGUGUCAAGGACAAAGACUCGAUGAGGGAAAAUAUACACAAAAAGGCUAUCUCGAUAUAAUAAGUCAAAAUAUAAACAAGUAGGUAUAUUAAAAGGAAACUAGAUGGAUAUUGCCACAAGACAAGAAACUAAAGACUCUUGAACCUAGAUUAGAAGCAAGAAAGGAGUUGACAAGAGUGAAGAAGCCUUCACUCUUGUCUCUAUAUAUACUAUCUAACUAGGAGCUACGUGGCGACAUUCUAUAGGACCUCCAAUAUGUGUUGACUUUGUAGGACACAUGCCUUGACUUACAAGGCAAGUUUUUCUACGUGUAGGCUACAUAGUUAGCUUGAUCUUCAAGCUAACAACAUGUGUGGCACAUGGCCAACUUGUUGACCACGUUUCUAAUCCAAAAAGUCAAUUAAAGACACUUAUGAAGUCAAAGCAGCGUCAAGGAAGUUUCUACAAAGCUUCUAUAUUAAAUAUUAUAGAAUUAACUUACUUUUAUCUACUUUUACUUAUUUCUACCUAUUUCUAUAUGUAAUUAUUAGCUUACAUGAUUAUGGCCGUGACAUUACCUUCCCUUCUAGAGAUGAGUUCUACGAAGAAUAGUCAUCAUAUGUUGAGGAAAUCUAUGAUGCGACAAAUUAUAUUCGCCACAUACUCUGAUCUCUGUUCUCUUCGAAGAUGAUUGAUAGGGCCUCUCAACCAUCGGUAGUGUCCCAUACCAGGGCAGGAAGACCAUCCAGUUAUUUGAUCAUUGUUGAGGCCUUCGUAACUUCCUUCGAAUAGAAUAUUUGGAAUACCAUCAGGAGUUGUUCCUACCUCUAGCAAAAUCACCAAACAUCGGGACUCCCUUCCCAAAUCGUGAUACCAAACGCGUUGUAUCUCACCAUCUAUUCGAGGAAGAACAUGUCGUUCUUGAAGAUCUUCAUCUUGAUUGCGUCAUCUUGAAGGUUGUGACAAUCGCAAUGUCUCAUCCAACAGGUCAGCAAACGAAGGUUCUUGAGUUGAAUCCGCUGGUUGUUGGCUCUCCAUCUAAUUAGUGUCACAAAUGCAAAGAAGUUACAAACAAGGAUAGGAAAUUGAAUGUUAUCUUGCCUCAAUCUUGUCUCUUUUAUAAGAGAGAUUUUCAUCUUGGUUUUGAUGGAUGUCGUUGAUGAAAAUCUUUGACUUUAGCUGAUGCAUUUGCUAGAUUCUUGAAUGGCUUCCAUGUGCGUUCACUAAUAUCAUAUCCGCGCCAAUGAACAAGAUAUUCCAGCUUAUUUCGGCGCCGCCUUGAGUCUAAUAUUUCUUCCACCUCAAAUUCUUCAUUAUUAUCUACUUCUAUAGCAGGCGGUGGCAUUUGUCUUCUUCCUUGUAUAUCCACUAUCUUAUAUGAUUCAAGAAGAGACACGUGGAAUACAUGAUGGAUCUUCAUUGACUCCGGUAGAUGUAACCGAUAUGCAACUGGGUUGAUCUGUUCAGAAACAGAAAAGAGGCCAAGCCUACGAUAGUCCAACUUGUCACAAGGUCGAGUAGUCUUGAUAUUGCGACAAAGUAGCCAUACCUUAUCAUCCACGUUGAGUUGUGGUUGCUCCUUACGAUAUAGAUCUACGUUUAUCUUUUGUCGUUCUUAAGCUUCCUUCAAUUGCGUCUUCAUUAUUGCAUGUAACUUUGACAACCGAUUUGCCAUAUCUUCUGCUGCAGGAUUAUCUACUUUUGAAAAAUCAAAAGUAUCAAGUCGUGGAUGAUAGCCAUAAUUGGCAAAGAAAGGUGUUUGUUGUGUGGAAGAAUGUACCGUAUUAUUAUAAGCAAACUCUGCCAAUGGCAGAAGGGUUGUCCAAUCAUCUUGUUGGUAAUUGAUAGUACACCUUAAAUAUUGCUCCAAGACUUGGUUUACGCGCUCUGUUUGUCCAUCAAUUUGAGGAUGGAAAGCCGAAUAUAGCUUUAUGUCCACUUUUAAAAUCUUGAAAAGGGUCCUCCAAAAUCUUGACACAAAUUGAGUUCCCCUAUCCAAUAUGAUAUCUUUAGGUAAUCCAUGAUAGCGAUAGAUAUUAUCAAUGAAAAGCUUAGCUGUUUCUUCACCUGUGAUAGAUUUUGUACAUGGCACAAAAUGUGCCAUCUUGGUGAAAUGAUCUACUAUCACAAAUAUAGAAUCAUAAGAUCUUGAGCUUGGAAGAUCUGUGAUGAAAUCCAUAGAAACAGAAGACCAUGGUUGUUCUAAUACAGGUAAUGGCUGAAGAAGUCCGUAAGGUCGAUGACGAGGAAUUUUUGAUCUUGAACAAAUAUCACAUGAUUGUACAAAGUCUUUGACUGACUUCCACAUUUGUGGCCACCAAAAAUCUCUUGAUAUGAGUUCCAAAGUCUUAUUAUAUCCAAAGUGCCCUGCUGUUGGAAAGUCAUGACGUGCUUGAAGAACACGUAAACGUGCUUCUCCUUCUGGAACAUAUAGGCGUCCUUCAAAAUAUAAUAGAUUAUUCUUGAACUCGAACUUAGAAGGAUCAUGAGACUUGGAAGAAUUAUUCUCGAUAUCAUAAAUAAGAGGGUCUAAGGACAUACUGGACUGGAUUUGCUUGAGAAAAGUUGAAUCAACAGUCAAUGUUGAUUUCAUUGCUCGGAGAUGAAAUUGCUCCGAUUUCAAGAGGACCGUUCUUUGUUGCUCAAAAGCUGCAUCUCCUUCUUUUGGUGCAAAAUAAGAACGUCUAGAUAGGGCAUCAGACAAACCUUGUUGUUUUCCUGGCCGAUAAGUGAUAAUAAACUCGAAUCUUGACAAAGACAUAUUCCAACGAGCUUGACGACGAUUCAACACGCGUGCUGACAUGAAAUACUCGAGGUUCUUGUGAUCUGUAUACACAGUGACUGGACUAGAAGCGCCUUCUAGAUAAUGAUGCCAUUCUUGAAAGGAAUCCAUGAUCGCAAGAAGUUCUUUAUCGUGGAUCUCAUAAUUGAUCUCGGCUGCAAAGAAUUUUCUUGAAUGAAAAGCUAUCGGAUGAAGUUUGUCAUCUGUUUCCAUUUGUGAUAAAACUGCACCCAAGGCAAAAUUUGAUGCAUCUGUUUCCAUAAAAAAUGCCUUGGAAAAGUCAACACUAUAUAAGACUGGUGCAGAGACAAACGAUGUCUUCAAGGCUUCAAAUGCUGCUUCCGCUUCUUGAUUUCAUUAGGAUUUAUCUUUACUCGUCAAGCGUGUAAGUGGAGCUGCAACUCAUGAGAAAUCUUUGAUGAAGAUCCGAUAGUAAUUGGCAAAUCUCAAUAAACAUUGGACAUCUCUUACUGUCCUUGGAAUCUUCCAAUCCAUGAUUGUUUGGACUUUCUUAGAAUCCAUCAUGAGACCAUCAUUUGAAAUGAUGUAUCCUAAAAAGUCAACUUGAGUAGUGUGAAAUACACACUUUUCCAUUUUAGCAUACAAUCCUGCAUCUCUAAGUUUUUGUAAUACUUGACGAACAUAUAUUUCAUGUUCUUUGACGUUCUUAAAAUAGAUCAAGAUAUUGUCUAGAUAGCAGAUGACAAAAUUGUCUAAGAAUUCACGAAAUACAUCAUUCAUGAGAUGUUGAAAAGCAGCUGGUACAUUCGUGAGUCCAAAGGGCAUGACAUUAUAUUCGAAAUGUCCAUACCUGGUUCGAAACGCAGUCUUCCAUUCAUCUCCUUCUUUGAUCUGUACUAGAUUAUAUGCUCGUCUUAGAUCUAUUUUUGUAUAGAUCUUAGCUUGAUUCAACUGGUCGAGGAGUCCUGAUAUCAAAGGUAAUGGAUACCUGUUCUUGAUUGUGAUCUUGUUGAGUCCUUGAUAAUCAACACACAUUCGUAAAGAUCCAUCUUUUUUCUUUACAAAUAGAAUUGGAGCUCCUGCUGGAGAUUUUGAAUGGCAUAUGAAAUUCUUCGCUAAAUUCUCGUCAAUAUAUGUCUUGAAUUCAGCCAUCUCAUCUUGCAAUAAACUGUAAAUUGGUCCAAAUGGUGGCUGAGUUCCUUCCUUGAGGUCGAUUGAACAAUCAUAUGUGCGAUGCUCAGGAAGAAUAUCUGCAUUCCUUUUCUCAAAAACAUCUUGAUACUCCUAAUAUUGACUUGGAAUGCCACUUGAAGUCUUUACGUUUUCAAAAAUAGGUGCAGCAUAAAUAGCAAAAGUUGAUCCUUCUUUUGUUGCGUGUAUAAAUGCUUUUGCACCUAUCAGUACGGGUUUUACUAUACUAGACUUAUAAUUUUUUACUUGGUUGGUAGAACUAUUAAUAACGCUCUGGGGAAAGUUAAGUUUACGUGAAUUCCAAUCUAUUCGAGGGUUAUAUUUUUCUAGCCAGGAUAAACCUAAAAUAACUGGAUUGGACGGGGAUUAAAUUAUGUUAAAAGCUAUGUAGCUAUCAUGACCGUCUAUUGUUACUUUUAUAGGAUGAGUUUCAUGAGUGACAUCUCCAGAAGACAAAGGACGACCAUCUAUGACUUCUACAUGUACUGGUUUAGGUUUCUGUACAAAGGGUAUUUUACGACUUUUAACAAAUUGUUCAUCUAAAAAACAUGCUGAGGCUCCCGAAUCUAAUAAAGCAGAGGCUUUGUAAUUCUUAGGUCCUAAAUAUAAGUCUAUAUAAAACAAAGAGAGGGUUCUGAGGAGAGGAUAGGACCUUCAUUAGGAAUUGUACAAGGUUCCAGCUGCAUGGUCCCUAUUGUAGCUGGACGAAUCUGUUUUCCGACAUGUUGUUUUCUUUGACCGUCGUACCCCUCAUUUUAUAGUUGCGUCAUUUCUUUGGACAAUGUUGAGCAGUGUGCCUAGGUUCUCCGCAAUAUAAACAUAAUCCUUCUUGACGACGAUGAAUCUUUUCUUGCUCAGUUAGGGGUUUAAAACGUACAGCAUCAAUUUGCAUGUCUUCUACUUCCGAAUGUACGUUUGGCAAAGAUGUUGAUGUUGCCAUUGAGUAAUAACGUUGAGGUUCUCGUGAAUGAUUCUCGGAAUCGAAAUUUGAAAAGUUGAUUAUCACAUUUUACCACAAAAUCGAUUGCUUGACUCAAAGUUUGAGGAUCAGGUAAGUUGAGCAUCAAUUUCUUUACUUUGUAUUGCAAUCCAUAAAGAAAUUGACUGAUGAGUGCAGCAUCAUCCCACUUGAUGUCAAUUGCAAGUUGUCAAAAUUGUGAAGCAUACACUGUUACUGAGCGAUUUUCUUGUCGCAGAAUUCGGAUCUUAUUUGUUGCAACACGAAUUGCAUCGUGUUCACCAUACAUAGAUCGAAACUCCGCCAAAAAAGCUUCCAAAUUAUCCAAUAUUGGAUUUCGUUGUUCAAAAAAAGACGAAAACCACGAUAAUGCAGAACCAGAAAGUAGAGUGCCAAUAAACCUGACUUGUGAUCCUGGAGCUGGAUAGCUUUGCGGUUGAAGUUCAAUUGCCAAUUGUACUUGAUUGAUGAACCCUCGAAACUUUGAUCUCGUACCAUCAAAUUUCUCGGGUAAGGCAAUUCUUGGUUCUCUAGUGCUUACAAGAUGUUGUACAAUUGGAGAAGGAACGUGAUUUGUUGUAGAUGUUGAAGUAGCUCCGAUCAUCUCUAUAUCCCCACUUUUUGCUAUUCUUGUUCUUUCAUGUUUUGGUGAAUUGAGUUGAUGCAUCGCAAGCAUUAACUCCCUCAUUUGCUCUUGCAUUUGUGCCAUUGCACUCUUCAUUUCAAUAAGCUCUGCCAUAAUGACUCUAAGAAGAAAAAUUUGUUUGAUACUGCUCAAGACAAAAGAAAAGAAAGACUUGAUAACAAAGAAGAUACUAAGAACAAUAUCAGUUUAGAAGUGGGUAAUCCGGAAACUUCUAAUAUGCUUAUGUCUUGUCAAGAGAAAAUGGUAAUCCACUCUCACUCAAGAAAAAUAAAGCUCUGAUAUUGUAAGUGUACUCUUGUCAAUCUGUCAAGGACAAGGACUCGAUGAGGGAAAAUAUACACAAAAAGGCUAUCUCGAUAUAAUAAGUCAAAAUAUAAACAGAAGGUAUAUUAAAAGGAAACUGGAAUGGCUAUUGCCACAAGAGAAGAAACUAAAGACUCUUGAACCUGGACUAGAAGCAAGAAAGGAGUUGACAAGAGUGAAGAAGCCUUCACUCUUGUCUCUAUAUAUACUAUCUAACUAGGGGCUAUGUGGCGACGUUCUAUAGGACCUCCAAUAUGUGUUGACUUUGUAGGACACAUGCCUUGACUUACAAGGUAAGUUUUUCUACGUGUAGGCUACAUAGUUAGCUUGAUCUUCAAGCUAACAACAUGUGUGGCACAUGGCCAACUUGUUGACCACGUUUCUAAUCCAAAAAGUCAAUUAAAGACACUUAUGAAGUCAAAGCAGCGUCUAGGAAGUUUCUAGGAAGCUUCUAUAUUAAAUAUUAUAGAAUUAACUUACUUUUAUCUACUUUUACUUACUUCUACCUAUUUCUAUAUGUAAUUAUUAGCUUACAUGAUUAUGGCCGUGACAGAAGGAUAGGAGUAAUAUUCCAAAAGCAGUACAAGCACCAAAAAUUCUAGUCCAUACAAUAUGAAAAACAAUGCCUAGUGUUCAACCUUCAACAUCUUUAUCGAAGAAAGGAGAGAUGGAGAUUGAAGAAAUUAUACAUGGAAUGUAGAAUCUUCAAAUCAAAUUGGCAAGACUUAAAGAAAAUACUUUUACAAAAAAAUUGAAGAAUGUUUCAAAAAAAGGGUAUGUACAAAGAUGUAUUUGGUGUGAUGAUGCUUCACAUGCUAGGAAGGAUUGCAAUGAAUUUAAAAAUAUGAUACAGCAAGGAGCUAUUUGCUGGAAAGAUGGAAAGAUUGCAUUAAAGGAUACAAAAGAUCUCUUUCAAACCAAUUUUGGCAAAAGAGGUAUGAGAGCAUUGGUUCAAGAUUACUUAAUAUAAUAUGGAAUAGCAAUAGGAGAAAGUGCAAGUUAUGGUGCUAGAGUAGAUGAUGACUUUGGCGGAAGUAUAGAAUCUAGUGAAUUUUGGGCUUCUGCCAUUUGCACAAUGCAAAAUAGAAAAAUAUCUUGAGAAGCGUUAUUGAGGAUUGCAGCUGUAAUACGAGGUGCAACAGGUUGGAAAGAUUUUAUUGAGUCUCUUUCAAUUCAUGCAUAUAUUGCUAAAAGCCAACAUAAAGCCUUGAUAGAAGAAAAGAGACGAGAAAAUUUUGAUGAUACAAGAAAAGAAAAUUCUUCUAAGAGGCAGACUUGAGGAAAUGGGGCUUGUGAGGCGGUUUCACAAAAAUUGCCUAUAAAAGAUACUUUAGCAUCAUUAGAAGAAAAAACAAAGAAAACAAAAGAUAAGGAUAAAUCAAUUGCUUAUAAGCUACUUUUUGAUAUUGAAGCUGCAAUAAAUUUAAAAGAGGAACUGGAAGAACAUAUAUUAAAUGCUAAGGUGGAAUUCACAUUAAAAGAGAUUUUGAGAAUUUCAAAGAAGGAGUUUCAUGAUAUCAUUGACAACAUUAAGCGAAAGAGGUAAUUAAUGGAUGAAGGUGGAAUGAGUCAUGCUAUUGAUACAGGAUUAUAUAAAGAUAAAGAAGAGGUUGAUAAUGGUUACAAACAAUCAACAAAUGAAAAGAAUGGAUAUAAUCAACAAGUACAUUUUGAAAAUUAUAGUGAUAAGGAAAUAGAACUUGAAGCCAUUAUACUCAAAAACAUUGGAUAAGGGCAACUACUGUAGUAUUGGUGAAAGUAGGAGAUAUAGAAGAACCAAUUAUUACUUUAGUUGAUCAUGGUUCUGAAAUAAAUCUUAUGUCUAAGGAUCUUUAUAAAAAGUGGAAAUGGCCAAUUGAUAUGGAACAUGGAUGGGCAAUACGAGCAGCUAAUAACAUGUGAAGCAAAUUAUAUGGAGCUUGUCUAGAUGUCAAAAUUUGGAUUGGAGAUGUUGCAACAGAACAACAUUUCUUUGUUCUAGUUACAACAUCUUAUCCAUUGAUUUUAGGACAAUCUUAUAUUACGACAACACGGAUGGAAACAAAAUUACUAGACAAUAGUUCUGCUUAUACAAGGAUAUGUAGUGAAGAUGGAAGGAAAGCUGUACAGUUUCUAAUAGUACCUUGUAAUCAUGAACGAAAUCAAGAUAGGUUGAGUGAGAAACCAUUGCCAAGGAUUGUUGAAGGAUUUAAGGAUUUUGGAGAAGUACCACUAUAAAGCGAGAUUAUGGAAGUACAAAAGAGGAGGUACUCGCGCAAGAUGAAGGUGCCUUUGAUGCGAGUUUUAUUGGUAUUUUUGAGAAUGAAAAUAUUAUAUAUGAAAAAAUUGAUGAUUUUAGAAGAAAAGAAAAAAAAAGAUUAUAUAGUAUUGAAAUGGAAUUAUGCAAGUUAGGGACAUUAGAAGAUGAUGAAAAGAUUUUAGGUGUUUAUGAAGAAAAUAGAUUGGAGGAUUCUUUAGAAUUAAUUAUAUCUAUUGGAUUAGGGAAUAAUGAUAAGAUUGUAGAAAUUCAUUCAAGGGAGGUUUAUUCUAUACUUGAAUCUUUUCAAGCACCAAAAGUUAUUAUAGAGACAAAAUAUAAAACAAUAGAUAAAAAGAUAAAACCUGUUGCCAGAUCUUUACCAGAAGAUUCUAAGAAAAAAAUGGAAGAAGCAUCAAAAGAAGAGAGUUUAAGAGAUCCAAAGAAGAUUGGACAUCAGUUUACAAAAGAGACUUUUGAAGAAUUGAAGAUUAAAUGUGAUGGUUCCUUAUUUCCAAUAGAAAUUGAAUAUUUCCAAUAAAAAAAUGCUUGCGAAACAAGGUAAAUCAUUUGCCUUUGGGUCUCAUGAAAUAAGAUGUAUAGAUCUUAAUGUUGUUGCUCCUAUGGUUAUCUUUAGAAUACCUCAUGUACCUUGGAACUUAAGGCCAAUUUCCAUGCCGACGGCACAUUUACCUAAAUUGGUGGAAUUAUUGAAAUAAAAGAUGCAAAUGAAAGUUUUGGAGCCUUCUUUUGCUCCAUAUUCUACUCGUUGGUUUAUGGUGCCUAAAAAAAAUGGAUCGUUAUAUUUUAUUCAAGAUAUACAGCCAAUGAAUGCAGUAACUAUAAAAAAUGUAGGUAUAGGACCUUUAGUAUAUGAGUUUACAGAAGCAUUUGCAGGAAGGACAAUUUAUUCAAUGGAUGAUUUAUAUUUGGAUUAUGAUCAAUUCUAACUUGUACAUGGGAGUAGAGAUCUAACAACAAUGAGAACGCCACUUGGAUUACUUAAAAUGUGUACUCUCCCUCAUGGUGCUACUAACUCAGUUGUACAUAUGAAGAAUGAGAUGAACAAGGUAUUAAGACACUUCAUUCCUGAAAAAACUAUGUCCUUUUUAGAUGAUGUUCCUAUCAAAGGAUGUAAAAAAGGAGAAAAAGAUGAAACUUUCGAUGAGAGGGGGUGUCACAAAUAUGUUGUUGAUCAUAUACAAGAUUGUAAAAAGAUUUUUACUCGACUUUCAGGAGUAAAAUCUAUAUUUGGAAUAUAGAAAGUUCUUAUUGUUGGGCAUUUGAAUGGAUUUUAUGAGAGAAAGCUAGAUCCAAGCAAAGUUGAUGCAAUUAGAAGAAUGAAAGAUUCAUGUGACUCUUUAAUGGAAGUACGUAGGUUUUUAGGAAUUUGUAUAUUUUAUCAUAUAUGGAUUUUUCAUUAUGUUCAUGUAGCAGAUCCAUUGUAUGAAUUAUUAUGUAAGGAUUAUCGAUUUAAAUGAGAAAGAAAGCAUACUAAAGUAAUGCAGAAGCUAAAGGUGUUAUUGGUGACACCUCCAAUUUUAAAAAAAAUUGAUUAUGACUGUAAUAGACAAGUAAUUCUUACUAUGGAUACCAGUCUUAUUGCUAUUGGAUGGGCUGUGGAUCAAGAUGAUUUCAAUGGAAAUAGAUUUGCAGUUCGAUUUAGAGCUAAAGUUUUAAGUACUCGUCAACGUGCAUAUUUGCAAAACAAAAGCGAACUUUGGGGAGUUGUUUCGGCUAUGAAAGCUGAAAAGAAUUAUUUGAUUGGUGCAACAGUAAUAAUUGAAACGGAUUGCUUGCCAUUACUUAAAAUGAUUACUAAUUAUUCAACGCCGGAUAUUGCAAUGUUAAGAUGGAUUGCUUAUAUUAAGUCAUUAAAUCCAAAAUUUAAGCAUGUUGCUAAAAAAGAUAAUUUAGUAGCAGACAUACUAUUUAGAGUAAGAUAUAAAAGAGAAGACGAAAUGGUUGAAGACAUUGAUGAUGUUGGAUCAAAAUUCUAUUCAGUAUCAAAUCUUAACAAAGAAGACAAGCUAUUUCUUGAAGAAUUUUAUGAAGGAGAAUUACUGGAUAUUGAUCAUUACUUGAAUACCUUGACUAAACAAGAAAAUUGGUCUACAGAAAAAUUUAAAAAAAUAAGAAAAAAAAGCAUAUGGAUUUUUGCUUCAAGAAGGAUUCUUAUGGAAGAGACCAAAGAAAGGAAUUGGAAUGCCACAAAGAGUGAUAGACAAUAAGGAAGAGAAACAAAAAUUAUUAAAGAGAUUUCAUGAUAGUUUAUGGGCAGGACAUAGAGGAAUUUGGGCUACUUUUGCUUAACUUAAGGAACAAUAUUGGUAGAGAAAUAUGUAUUAAGAUGUGCUCUUAUUUGUAGAAUGAUGUAAAAUUUGUCAAGCGUAUUCUAAUAUAUGACAUUGAGAUGGUCUUCAUCCUACAUAUCAUCUAAUUAUUCAUUUUAAAUGGGUUGUUGAUUUGGUUAAUAUGCCAAUCAAAUUAUGGCAAAUGAGAUUUUUGGUCUUAGCUCAAGAAGAUUUAGCAAAUCAAGUAGAAGGAAGAGUAUUGAGAACAAAAACUACAAAAGGAAUUUGUAGAUUUUUGCUUGAAGAUGUUAUUUGCCACUAUGGAUGUAUAAGAAAAAUCAUUGCAAAUCGUGGAGAAUUAAUUGCACAAGAAGCUCGUGAAUUUUUGAAAGAUGUGGAAUCAAACUAUCACUGACUACUUCUUAUAAUCCUGAAAGAAAUGCAAAAAGUGAACGUGGUCACCCACCGAUUGUGAAAGCAUUAGUUAAAGCUUGUAAUGGAAAGAUUAGACAAUGGCCCCGACUUUUGUCAUUUGCAUUAUGGGUUGAUCAAACAACUCAUAGCUCAGUAACGAGAUUUAUGUCUAUUGAGCUUAUGACAGGCCAAAAAUCAAUUAUGCCAAUUGAAGAAAAAGUACCUACUUGGAAUGUGCUAUCAUGGGAAGAUGGAUUGACAAGAGAAGAAUUUUUAGCUAUUAAAAUUUAAAAAUUAGAGCAAAGAUCAAAAGAUGUGCAAGUAGCAUUAGAAAGGUUAAAAAGAGCAAGAUUACAAAAUAAGACACAAUUUGAUAAGCAGCAUUGAUUGAGGCCUAAAGUAACUGAAGAAUGUCAUUGGGUUUUGGUCUAUGAUAGUAGCUUGGACAAUCAACAUAAUGCUUUAAGGAAGUUUUCUAAACGAUGGUUUGGACCGUAUGUGGUAACAACUAUUCAUGAUAAUGCAACUUACUCAUUGUGGAAGUUGGAUGGAGAAGGUUAAAAAUACCAAUUGCAGGGAAGCGAGUAAAAAUAUUCAAACAAAGAUAUACAAAAAUAAAUAUAGAAGACCUUAGUGAAGAUAUAGAUAUUCCUCAAUAAGAAGAUGAAUUUGACAUAGAUAGCAAAAAUGAUGAAGAAAAUUUGGACGAAGACUUAGAGAAUGUAUUAUGAAUCAAACAACAACUGGAUUAUUUGGUGUAUACCAGAGGAUGCACAGGUUUAGAAGAAGUGGAUGUCGUGUUGUAACAUGACUAUAUACUAAAAAUAUAAAUGAAAAAGAUAUUAUUAAUAUUUAGUCAUCUUGGAUGUUAGAAACAGUGGUCAAUUUCAGUGCCAAUAUUCAGGGUCAGUUAAUGUCACCCCAUUGACGUCAUCGAACCAAGUACCCUCUAUACCAACAAGACAACCAAGAUCAUUUUCUAACCCUACAUGGAACAAGCUUAGUAGGUAUAUACCGGUGGAGACAUCUAUUAUGCAUGAUAGGGGUACAGAAAGACCACUUCCUCGUUUUCGUUGUAGACAGGUUGAUCAUUAUGCCAGUGAAUGUUCUAAUCCCAAAGCCAAUGAUAAUUACGCGUCAGUAUGUAGGAAUUAUAAGCAGCCGAGGCAUACGUAUCUGCAAUGUAAUGCUCCAUCCAAUUUCAAUAAACGAGAUUAGCAAAUCCAAAGCCAAGGAAAAAUUGAAGAAAUAAAUCAAGGUCCUCAAGAUUCUUCGAUAAAUCGAAUGGAAUGAAUCCAAGCCAUUCUUACCAAGAGUCAGCAAAAGGAGAAAGGAUCAAUUCAAUAUUCGGGUGAGUCUAAUGUGAAGGGCCAAUUUGACCCAAUUACGGGGACAUCUAAUCUAGGUCUUGGUAUGGGCCUCUUAUCUAGUAUGAGACCUGACUUGGUUGGACAACCUAAUGAGGUCUCGAAUAUGGAGGCUUCAAUUCCAUUUCAAACUGUUUCAUUAUUUAUGCUGUUUUGGAGAAAACAUCCUUUCCAUAGAAAGAUUCUCUUAGAGAUAGGAAUUCCGAGGAAGCGUUGUCGGCUGUUCCAAAUCAGAGUCCAUAGUGGAAGAAAAGGGGACCACACGGAGUUAAAAAAGAGGAGAGGAUAAGAAAAGGAGCAUUCGGAGAUCAAGAUUUUGGGGUCGAAGAGCUAGCUUCAAGCUCCUUUGAAAGGUGUAGAAUUGGGUUCAUAGGAUUUGGGAGGACUUUGGCAAUCGUUGCUGAAAGUCAUUGUUUGUAUUGGUGAAUUGGUUUUUUUUGCAAUAAAAUAACGGCUAGUAUUCUUGACUGUUUUGUGAAAUUGGAGAAACUUCUAUAGUUGAAAUUUAGAGGUGUCUAGAGGAUUGAGUAUGCCGAGUGCAUGCAAAAGUUUGUGUUAAUCUGAUAGAACAGAUAGAGGUUAUUUGACCAUUAGCAUAAAGAGGUAUCAAAAGUUAGCAGAUUGGGAUUGUUUAGGGUUUCUGUAAUAUCGAGAGAUCUAUCCAUUGGAAUAAGGUGACUUUUGGCAUGGUAAGUCUAGGACUUCUAGGGGGUGGUUAAGAUACAUCAGUGUGGAUUUACGACAUUUUCUUACAAUCUGUAAGUUAGAUUGGAUUGAAACUUCUUAAAUAUUUAGAUGGCUUGCAAAGACACUAGUAGUAGAAGUUUACAACAAUUGGACGAUUAGAUUGAGAAUUACAGCUUACUGAAGCUCGCUCUCUAGGGUUAGGAUUUAAAAACAUAAAAAUAAAAAUAAAAAUAAAAUAAAUAAAAUGAAUUAAAAUAAAAUAAAAUAAAUAAAAUAAAACUAAUAAAUAACAAAAGACUUGUACUUAUAAUAUCUUGAAGUUAUUAAAAAUAGUAUUUCUAAGUAUUUUGUAUUGAGAUUAAGCUUUUACAUUGAAAUCCAAAAUAGUUGUAUUUAGAUGGUUGAAACCCACUAGCCUACAUGGAUACUUACAAAACAUUAUUUUAUCUUCCACAAGCAAACGCCCGGUGCAUUCUCAAGCAAGAUAGCAUGUUAUAUGACAACGCCUCUGCCCUUCUUCUCUUGAAAUUGUUUCACCAUAUGAGCUCAUUUCGGAUCGUGUUCGAAAUGUAUCUCACUUACGAGUAUUUGAUUGCCAUGCUUGGAUUCCAGUACUAGAACCUCAAUGACGUACCAUUGGAGCUCAUUGACAAGAAGGUAUAUAUGUUGGUUUUGAUUCACCAAGCAUUAUUCGUAUUGUUGAUCCAUCAACUGACACAUUAUUAUGUGCAUGUUUAUAAAAUUGCCGUUUUGAAGAAAAUGUAUUCCCAUCUCUUCAAGGAGGAGUAUCCAAUCAACAAAGAAAUAAAGUACUCAUAUUUGAAGCACCAGAAACAUUUACAAUGAAUCCCGAUCCUAGGACAUCUUUGAUAGAAAUUGAAGUUGUUAAGAUUUUGCAUCUAAAACGGAUCGCACAUGAAACACCUCAUGGCUUCAAUGAUGCACCUAGAAUUAUAAGAGUUCCUAUUAGUGAGGCUCAUAAUGCACCUACUCAGAUUGCAGUGCCAUUGACUACAAUACCUCAUGUUAUAACAACAACAACUAAAAGAAUUCGUAGACUAGAUAAGCAACCAUGUAAGAAAAAAGCUAUAAAAUUGACUAAUCCUGGUAUUAUUUCUCAAGAAAUUAUCACUCAUCUUGUGGGACUACCAAUUCAUGAUGAUAUAUCCAUACAUAAUGUACCUUCAAUUCUUAUGAAAAACAAUCUUGGAAUUGGAAGGAAUAAGAACAAGUUGAGUAAAGAAUUAUCUAUUUUGUAUUGUGCUAUAGAUGAUAUUUGGGACAGAUCAUCUAUUAUGGUACAUGAAUCAUUUGCAUAUAUGAUUAUAAAAGCCCUUUCUUGUGAGGAAGAUAAUCUUGAACCUCAAACCAUCAAGGAAGCAAUUUGUUGCUCUGAUUGGUCAAAAUAGAAAACUGCUAUUGAGGAAGAGUAUGCCUCUUUGCGUCAGAGGAAAGUCUUUGGUCCAAUUGUAGGCACUCUUACAUCUUGCUCUGUGGGAUAUAAGAUGGUAUUAAUAUGCAAGCGAGAUGCUUAAGGCCAAAUAAUCCACUAUAAAGCUCAUCUUAUUGCUCAAGGAUUUACUCAACAAUUUGGCAUUGAUUAUGAAUCUACAUAUUCUCCAAUCAUGGAUACAAUUACAUUAUGAUAUAUUAUUGGAAUGACAGUUUAUGCCACCCUUGAGAUGCAUCUGAUGGAUGUAGUAACUGCAUAUCUAUAUGGUUCUCUUGAUACAAAUAUUUAUAUGAAAGUUCUAUCUGGCUUAGAAACAUGAACUCCAAAUCGACCCGCUCUAGUAUAAUAUUGUAGUAUUAAAUUAUGUAAGGCCUUCUAUGGUUUAAAACAAUCGGGAUGUAUGUGGUACCAACGUCUUUAAGAUUAUUUAAUUACAAAUAAAAUUAUAAGUGAUCCAUUAAUCCCUUGUUUGUUUAUCAAACAAGAUAAAACUGGUUUUGUGAUCAUUGCUGUAUAUGUUGAUGAUUUUAACCUAGUGGGUACUACAUCUACAUGUGUUACAACUACUAACCUACUUAUACAUAAAUUUGAGAUGAAAAUGCUAGGAAAAAUAACUUUCUACAUUGGUCUUCAAAUUAUGCAUCUAACAGAUGGUAGCAUUUUUCUCUACCAACUAAUGUAUAUUAGACAAAUCUUGGGAAGAUUCAAUAUGAUUGAUGCUUAUUCAUUGUCCACACCAAUGGUUGGACGUGAUCGUGAUGGUCAUGAUCUAUACCGUCCAUGCAAGGAGGAGGAGGAAAUAUUAAGAGAUCAAUAUCCAUACCUCGCAGUGGUCGGAGCACUUUUGUAUUUAGGUAUAUCUACAACACCAGAUAUUACAUUUGUAGUUAGUGUUCUUGCAAGACAUAGUACACGUUCAAUACUACGACAUUGAAAUGGCAUCAAAUAUUUAUUACAUUAUUUAAAAGGUACUGAAGACUUGAGAUUAUACUACACAGUGUCCGUAGAUCCAAAAUUGGUUGAAUAUUGUGAUGCAGGAUAUAAAUGUGUUACUGUAACAGCUAAAUCUCAAAUAGGAUAUGUAUUUUUAAGACAUGGAGCUGCAAUAUCAUGGAAAUCAGUGAAACAAAGAAUAACUGCAACUUCAUCCAACCAUGCAGAAAUUAUUGCCUUACAUGAAGCAUCUCGAGAAUGUAUUUGGUUGCAAACAAUUGAUAAAUUCAUUCAAACAACCUGUGGAUUUUCAUAUGAUGAUUCUCCAACUAUCUUGCAUGAAGAUAAUAGUGCUUGUAUUGCACAAAUGUAAGUUGGUUUCAUUAAAGGCGACAGGACAAAGCAUAUUCAUCCAAAAUAUUUUAGUUAUAUCUAUGACUUGAUUACUGAUCAAGUACUUAUAAUUAAGAAAAUUGAAUCUACAAAUAACCUUGCUGAUCUCUUCACCAAAGCUCUCCUAUUGUGCAACCAUCGUCGACUUACUUAUGGCAUUGGUAUGCAGUGACUUGCUUUUCUGAAAAAAGAAAGUUAAUGAGUCUUUUAAAUAAUUAAAAAAAAUGAUGUUGUACUCUUUUUCUUUAAUCUAUGGUUUUGUCCUUAAAUACAAUAAGAUUUUCCUAGAUAAGGUUUUAAUGAAGCAACAAUUGUUGAUCAUACAAGAUAACAGAAAAGUAUAGAUCAUAAUUCUAUAUAAAUUUUAUAUUAUGUAAAUAUUAUAAUGAGCAAGGAGGAGUGUCGAAAUCAUUAAAUGUAGUCGGCGCUCUCCAUAAUAUUUACUGUAGACUACAGUAAAUACCAUAGCUACAGUAUUUAGAGUCUAGUGGAGAAGUAUUGUUUAUCCUCUCACCUUUUCUCUUCUUGUAUACGAGACACAACCAGAUCAACAGAAUUAUUAUGUGUGAAGCUCUCUCUCCUUAGAAACCCUCUUGUGUGUAUCACUUACUACUACUCUUGUGUGUGUAUUACUUACUAUUACUCUUGUGUCUUUCUAAACAUUCUCAACACAUAGCAAGCCUUAUAGUUCUUUAAAAACUUCGACAUAGUUGUCUUUUAAGUUAGUAUAUAGAAAAGUAAAUAUAAAUCUAUGAUUAGUCUUAUCAACAUUUUUUUGUGUUUCAAUUUUAAUUCAAUGCUCUCUAAAUGACUAAUACUUAACAAUAGCCAUUGUAAUAUUUCCUUAUUAACAAUAUUUUAGAAAUUUUAUGAUAUUUUUCUAUCAAAAAAAAUAUAACCAUUAUUAGCAUAAUGUGCAAUUUUUUUUAUUGAACUGCUUUCUAAUAAGUAAAAAAUUAAAAUAAAUUAAUAUACAAUAUUAUGCGUUGGUUAGUGGAUCAUUAUAACAAAAUAUUUUAAAAUAUUCUUGAUGUCUAUAUCUAUGUAACAUCACAAGUCUAUGUCUUCAAAAUUAGUUGUAUUUUCUUUUCAUGAGUAAAUAUUUUAAUCAAUAAUUAUUUUAAUUAAUGACUAUCUAAUAUUAAAUAUUAAAUUCUUUAAAGACAUUCUUAAAAAGCCUGUGCAACAAUGUAGGUUUUGGAUAAAAAAGAAUUAAACUUUUUUAUUUUGCAAUAAGAUCAAAUUACAAAAUCUAUUUCUUAGAGAUGAAAGGGUCUCCUAAAUUUUGUCUCCCGAAAUUAAGGACACAAUCUUCUUGGCUGCUAAGUUUAGUUGAUUUUACAAAUAUAAAACAAUUUCCUAAGAGUUUUUGUAGUUACGACAAAUCGCUCACUUUUGUUUGUAGCCCAUGGGAUCUUUCUUCCAAUGCUGAUAAUGGUGUAUAACUACUGAUGAAAUAGGCAAUGAAAAAGAGUUUUACUGGGGAUUGGAUUUCCAUCCUAACUGGUUGUAAAUAAAGGACAAUUUCACGAGUAGUCUUAUGAAUGACUGCAUCCAUAAAGCUCUUGCAGCAUCUGUCAAACAUUGCAACUGGAGGAAGACUCGUAUAAAGAAUAACCAGGAAUUCCUCGAGAAUCAACUUGAAACGCUUCGAAUUCAUGCACCAGUGUUUCACGGUACCAAGAGAUUUGCAACAUUGGUCUGAUGAUACAUUCACUCCGUACCAGAUAGUGUUCAAUUCUGAUGAAGAGCUCUUCCAUUGUAUUUACUAUAAAGAGUAAGAAACGCUGAUGUGGGUCCACAUACAUUACAAACUCCAUGUGGAGGUCAUGUGACCCAAUCAAAUUGGCAGGCGACCAGCAUGUCGAUCACUCUUUGGUAAUAUGGGAAAUCAUGUGCAUUACUCUAAUAAAGUUUUCUCCUUUAAUCCUUAGUGGUUGGAGUCAUGACUAAGAUCAAUGCUAGUAAGCCCAAACUGUUUCCUCGCCUUGUAGUCAGCCCAACCCGAGUAAGUCACGAGCUCGAACGUAUAGAAAUAGUCUCCAAUGUCGAUGACGAUGCAGCCAAACAUUCCACGAAGUUGAAAUACGCAUACUUCAUAUCAAAUUGCAUGUCAUACCCUACACAUCCAUGAUUUGGGCCAUCAAUGCAGAUUAAGAACAAUCAAUAACCAUUAGACACAUGCAGUGGCAACAUCAACCUUUCAAGCGACAGCAAAGCUUGACACUUUUAAUAAAUCAUUUAUAUGAUAAAAUCUUUGGCAGAGAGCACCGAACUUACAAUAAUUAAUGGCGACGGUGCGCCCCUCUGAAUCCGGUGACUGGCGUACAUGAUGAAACCACAAACUCGGCCUACAGGCACAUUGAUAAAUCAAUGCCAGGAAAUACGAUUGGAACUUAAAACAAGAAACCAACAAGUUGUGAAGCAAGAUUGAGCUAGAGCACAUUGAGAUUAAGAGACGUUGUAUAGAGUUUGGGGUUUGAGGACUGUGGGAUACAUGGUGAGGCACAGGUUGUAGACUUCUACUUACAGAUAAAGUAGUUCUCCUGCUCUGACUGUACACUCAAAUGCCAGUGGGCCUCCGAAAUAACGCGGAUGCUGGGACUCGGCUGUUUGUCGCUCAGCAUUCUUUGGAAAGGGAUCUACACUGGACCACGGCACCCAGGCGGUUGGACUAUCGCGUUUAAGCACCAAGCUCCCACUGUCCUGCAGAAAUAAAGAAGCUGCAGACAGAAACUCAUCAUUCCAUGUAGCCAAGGGGAAUCUUCUUUCACGACAAAUAGAUGCGAGUACUGUAAUCGUAGAACGCUAAAGGAUUGGUUUAUCAAAUUAUGGGAGUGAAGUUCACAAAAGCAGCUAAGGGAUAGUAGAUGUAAGUUUCAGAAGCAAUAAAAAUUGCCUUAUACAAAAGAAUUGCAAUGUGAAGUUCAUCUUGUAACCAUCAACUACAGGUUACGAGCACAUCAACCUAAAAAUGCAGUAAAACAAAUGCAGACUGGAAUGACGUUCUCUUAUCGAAGUAGCAUAAAAGGUCCAAAUGCUGAUACCAAUUCACAAUGUUUAUUCAAGCAUCCAUAAGCCCUUGUGUUUGAGAACCGGGGGCAAUUUAAUUGAAUUAUCAAACUGAGGAAGCAACCAGAAAAGAGACGCUGUACACUCAAGCAAAUUGAUUACAAUAAAUUGAGCACAGCUUGCGCAUGAAAAUGCAAAACUACCUUGCAAUUCGGGACCAGAAAGAGGGAGAGAGAGAAAGAGAGAGAGAGAGAGAGAGAGAGAGAGAGAGAGCAAGAAAACUGACCGUUCGUUCAUAAUGAGCAGCGGGGUACUUCUUCACAUACAUCCGAUGCACAUCUGUUGGGGGAAGUAAGGUGAAAUGCUUCUCCCCAGAGACUACAGCAUAAAGAUUCUCAUAGUGGUCCUUAUGGAAUGAUGUCACCGACUCUUGAGUACCAAUCCACAAAUUCACCGCCUCGGGCUUGCAGCCCAAAGCCUCGCUUGCCCAUGCGAUAUCGCUGUCUACAUCUUCAGAAAGCGCAGAAAACUCCAACGGGAAGCAAUUGUUCUGCUGCUGUAGAUAUGCCACACUACGGUCUUCACAACUCGAACUCAGAACACACUCCAGCGCCGUGGGGAAGGGCAGUACCUCCACAAGUGAACUUGCGAAGACUAUUUCAUUGGCAGGUCCUUCUCCUUCCAAAUCACCUCCAUCGCUGUGGCUAGACUUUGACCCCACGUCUGCAGACUGAGGAGCCUGCACAAGGGCAUCGGCUCGCCCGUCGGGGGUGAAAUGGCAAGAGACGCUACGGUGGGCAAGUUGGGAUUGCAAGUAGGAGUUGGACCAGAGGCGAAGGGCGGGCCAAUGUGCAAUGGCGUUGGUGAUGAUGCAGGGACGAUUGGGCAUGACGAAGUCGCGCAGGAACUGCACAGGAUCGGGAGGGCCAUCGAUCCUGACAACCUCGGGCGUGCAACCCAGGGACAGCUCUCGCACCUCGCGCGACAGCAGAUCCAGCAACUCUCCCGCUGCAGCGACAGCCAUGAAUCUACUUCCCCUCUUCUAAACCCUAAAUCUAUCCAGGUUCAAAUUCUUCACACUCAUUUGCUCGCAACGGAAAACCCAAUUCGCGUUCAGAUUCGUCACGACAACGCCUUCUUCGUUUUUUCUUCUCGAGGACCUUCCACUGUCGGACACUAAAACCCCCGCAACCCCGACAACUCUCUGCAAGCCCCGAAGCACAGUCACAUCCAUCGCCGACACACUUCACUAAGCCCUAAUUUCCACCACACACACACACAAUGGAGGAAAAAAAUUGAAAAUUAAAUAAGCAGGGAAUUGGAACUAAUACCCUUUUCAAAUGUCAGUUGAUGUUUCUCGAUGAAUCAUUCUCUCUAUACAUAUAGGUAUAUAUCAAAAUGUGGAAUGUUUUCAAUCAAGUAAAAUCUAUUUGUAUAUAUAUAUAUAUACACGUUUUUUUUCUUCCUAUAAGAGAAAGCUUUUUGAAUGAAUGAACAAUUUAGUGUUUUCAAAGCAUGGACAAAAAUAUGUGAGAUUCUUCAUAGUCUUGCAUUUGAUACAUUGAUACUUGAGAUGACAAUUAAAUAUUGAGAAUCCAUAUACUGUGGUCUUUUAGUUAAUAAAAAGUAAAAGAAAAAUAGCUUAAAUAAAAAUUAAAUUAUGAGAAUCCAUAUAAUGUGGUCUAGAAUACCGUUAUCUAAGUGUGACCAAUUAAGUUGUAUCUUACAUGUUGCUCCUAAACGACGGCCUCUAAUUCUUAAGUGCCCUUUUUGUCUUGUACAAUGAACAAUUUAUAUUUUUCAAUCCACAUGCAAUCACCACCAGUACAGUCACUACGAUCUCAUUUCCUCCUCACCCUACUCUCACAAGCAUUUGUAUUAUAGAACAAACUACUGUUUAAAAUCAGCUCCAAAAAUCCUAGUGGUCCACCUACAACAACCUUGGACAAAAACCUUAACAUCAUUCACCUCCUCUUAUCCCUCUACAAUACAACAAAAAUAAUGCAUAAGGAAACACUAAAUUCUAACCAGCCCAUGUGGAUUGGAAAAUGAAACUUUUCUCAUGUCUUUAUCCAAACUCAAUUCCCACUUGCUAGAGUUCACAUGGGGCUGACUCAAAUCAGAAUUUCCUGUUGAAAGUCUUCAUAAAGGACCACUUAGGGCUUUGUUGGUGAUUCAUCCAUAUCAGAACAUUUAGUCUCAACAAAUGAACUAAUGACAAACUUUCCACAAUAUAUGUACUGCACUUCGGUACACUUAUAAACACAGUUGUUAUUCUUGUUAUUAGAACUACUGUGUAGUAGUUUGAUGCGUUGCUUGUAUGUAUGUAUGUAUGUAUGUGUGCUCAUAGUGUUGUGCACGAUCCUGAUAGCAAAGUUACAGAGUCACUGUUCACUAAGUGGUUUUACGUCAAUAUUUCAACAUGGUAUCAGAGCGGGACUGAAUUCCUCACUUCGCCUUCUAUCGAACUUGCUUAGUUCUCAUUCCAUAUAAAACAUCCAAAGUAAUUAUAUAUUGGCAAAAGAUAUUCUCGUUCCAGAAGAAAAUCAAGCUUGCAUGAUCAUCCAAUUUUCACUUGUGUAAAUACUGAGAACACAGACACGUAUCCACAUUGUUCAAUACAGAACCAAGGAACAAGAACCUAGCCAAUACAGACUUAGAUUACCGAUGAGGAGAACAGCAGAAAGAGCUGUUUAAAUACAGUUACAUUCGUGGGUUCCCUGAGAUGAGAACUGGAUUAUAUACCUAGGGGUGUUCAUCCAACACCCUCCUUCACCCCGUGUGUUCUAUGUUCAAGGCAGCUAUUAUCACAAAAAAAAAAAAAAAAAAAAAAAAAAAAAACUGAACUAGAAAUAAAAAAAAAGAUGAGGUGUUCUUAGUUGAAGAAGAAGUUCUCGGCAUCUUGUAGCAUCCUGAAUCCUCUGUAUUUUGCUCCAAGAAUCAAUAAGGAUGUCUAGUAGAGGAUCAGAGAUCGUGGAACAACACUCUUGCUACUUACUAUGUUGAGUUCGUUUCUGAACUUCUCGAACAGGGAGCACCCUAGUGGCUUUGUGAAAAUAUCCACUAGUUGCUCAAGAGAAGGAAUAUAAUGGAUUUCUAAUUCUCCUUUGAUCAUUUCUUGAGUGAAGUGAUAGUGGGCAGACACAUCACGUGUUUGGGGAUUUGUCCCAAGAUUGACUGUCAUCCGAAUGUUGCCAAUGUUAUUGCAAAAAAUACAAAUUGAGAGUUCGAUUUUGAAGUGUAAAUCCUGAAAUAACAUUUGCAACCAGGAUGCUAUUUUGGAUGCUUUUGUAAGGGCUCGGUACUCUGCUUCAGAGGAUGACAAAGCUACGGUAGGCUGCUUCUUUGAAUGCCAUGUGAUUGGUGACUUUCCUAAUCUGAAAAUGAAGCUUGUGGUUGACCUAGCAUCUUGUGCAUCUCCCGCCUAGUCGGAGUCGAUGUAGCCUUAUAGUGUAUUACUCUUUGAUUUGUGGAGAUGACUCCAAAGUCCUCGGUGCCUUUGAUGUACCUAAGAAUCCACUUUGUUGCUAGAAGAUGUGGUUGUUGAGGUUUCUGCAUGAAUCUGCUACAUACUCCUAUUGAAUAUUUAAAUCUAGACUAGCCAUUGUGAAAUGAAGAAGCGAUCCUAUCAGCCCUUGAUAGAUUGUUGGAUUUCAAUCUUCUUCCAUAUUCAUUACUAUUUUGUAGCAUUCAUCCACAGUCAUUACUAGUUUGUAGUGUUCAUCCAUAGGAGUAGCUGUUGAUUUACACUAUGCUACAUCAUAUGUUAUGAGAAUUGGCUUAGCAUAACUCCUUUGAGUUGGGAAAAUUCCACUGUGAACUUGAAUACACUCUACCUUCAAAUAAAUCAUGAUAUCACCUCCAAAGAGGUUAGUCAUGGGAAACUUAGAGUAUAAUCUUACCUUAAGACCUGUUAUCUCAGAGCAUAAGUUGCUUACCAUCAGUAGAUCAUUGAUAAAAAGUGUUAUAAGAGUGAUAUUUUUAUAGUCGGCUUUGUUAUAAAGAUUAUGUUUGCCCAUGCUUGAUUUAAAACCAAUGGUUUUGAGCAACUUGUCAAUUUCUUCGUACUAGGACCUGGGAGCUUGUCUUAAUCAAUAGAGUGCUUUUUUAAGCCUAUAAACUAAAUGUUCUCUUGCUGGAAUUUAAAAACCUUCUGGUUGCAUAAUAUAGACUUCUUCUUUGUAUAGACCAUAGAAGAAUGUAGUAAUGAUGUCCAUGGGUGACUUGGUUCAGCUAUUUUGGGAUGCUAUAGUAAGCAAUGAUCUAAUGGUUUUCCAUGCAACUAUUGGUGUCAAUGUUUCGUCUAUAUCCACUCCAUCUUGUUGUUAAAAAUUGAGCACAACAAGCCUUGAUUUUUACUUUUGAAGAUCACCAUCAAUGAUUGAUUUUUGCUUUGAAGAUCCAUUGUGUAGAGGUGGUAGUUUUACCUAAAGGAAGCUUGAUAAGAUACCAAACUUUGUUUUUAAUAAUGGAAUUGUAUUCUUCUUUGAUGGAUUCUCUCCAAAGAAGACAAUUCCAUGAUUUGGUAAAAGAGUUUGAUUCCAUGUUUAUUGAUUCUACCUUUGUAUAGUGAUCCUUGAGCCAACUAAGAAAACGAGUGGUGUAGCUUGAUCUAGUGGUUUUUUGCAUUGUCCAUUUUAGAUCUAGUUUUUUGAUGUCUAUUGGCCAUGAGUGAUCAAGAUUGUCUCUCUGUGAAAGUGAUUUUGUUUCAACAUUUGGACAUUGUGGGGAUGAAUAGUUGUCUUUUGUUUGUAAGUUUAUAGAUUCUUUGGUUCAAGUGGUCGUCAAGUUUUCAAAUGGAGAUUGAUCUAGCUCUUGUUCAAUAGGUGAUAUCAAAGAAUUUGGUAGUGUUGUCAAAAAUUGUCACAUAUGACCUCUGAACUGAUUGACAUAAUUUGAUAAAAGCGGCAAUUGUAGGAAUCUAAUAAAAGAGCUUUGGUUUGUAGCUACCAAUAGACACGAGAGCUGCUUCUAAACUACUCUUUCUAUUGAGAAUAAAGAUGUGAUACUUGACAUAUAGAUAGAUCCAACAGAUGAUAUUGAAGACUUCACAUCUGAAUUGAAGACAGACAAGAAAUCUAAAUCUCUUUCUUCUAUUUUAGUUGUUGGAAGGUAGAAAUUAAAGCUUAUAAUAGAUUAUGAAAGUUUAGUAUGAUAAAACCUUGUUUCAUCAAAGAUAACAUCUUUUGACACAAUGAUCUUGUUGGUCAAAGGUAAGUAAAUUAUGUAGGCUUUAGAACAAUCAUCAUAGCCUAUUAGAUAGCUUGUAAUAGAUUGAGGUUCUCAUUUGUACCUAAUGUGAGUACCAAUGUGCACAUGUGAAAGAGCUUUGAUUCUCUUGAAGUGAUUUAAAGAAGGUUGUUUGCUAGAAAAUCUUUCUUCUAGAGAAAAGAAUGAAUCAUUUAUCUUAGUUGGGAUUCAAUUGAGAAAAUAAAUGAUUGUUUUAACAACUUCUGAGCAAAGUUGAAUUGAAAGAUAUCUUGACACUAGUAUAGUUUUGAUUCUUUCUAGAAUCAUUUGAUUUUGUAUUUUGACAAUAGUGUUUUGGUAUAGAGUAUGGUCUUGUAUUAGUCCUUGCAGAAUCCCAUGAAAUCACAAAUAAUCUAAAAAUGUUGUAGAAAAAAACUUCUUAUUCCUAUUUGUUCACAACAAUUUGAUGUAAUGUUGUCAUGUGGUAAUACAAUUAUAUAGUAAAAAAUAAAAUAUAGAUAUUAUUAUAGAAGAACCUAUUAAAAAGAUGUAGUAGAAAAAUGAGAAUAAAUGAUAGAAAGGUAGUAAAAAAUUUAGUCUUAAUAUUGCCUUUUAUAGAAGAGACUUCUAUUUACUUUGCAAAAGCAAUAAUGAGCCAAAUCAAAAUAAAUGAGAUAAGAAAUUGAUAUAGGCAUAUUUAGGAAAGAAUUAAAAAUAAGUUAAAGUAAAAAUGGCCUAAAAUUAUUAAAAAUUGAUACCUAGAGAGGACUCGUUGUCAACUUAGGUUGAAAUCAGAUCCCGAGGUACAAAACUACACUGAUAUGGUGACUUUGGGGUUCUUUUGAAGAUUAAAGAGUAAGAUUUGAGAGAAGACUUGAAGAGAGAUUUUUAAGCAUUGGUUUUAUAUCAUUUGAACCAAUAUUGAGAUUUUGAUGGAUUUUCAAAAUUAAUAAUAUUCUUGAUGGAUUUAGGUUUUGAAAAAUAAAAAUAUAUUUAUAAAUUUAAAGGUUUCUUGAGUUUUGUGACAUGUGUAUGGGUAGAAUUCAUGUAGUUUGUUGGUGUAAUUAUUGUAAAUGUGUAUGCAAAAUUUGAUAUCAAUUGAAUGGUUAGAUUGAAGUAUAUGAGGAUUUUUAUGGAUUGAUGUCUCAUAAAUUGGAGUUUGAGGGCCAAUAAGUGUUUCUAAGAUCUUCAAUAAUUUGUCAAUUGGAUUAGAAUGAAAAUUAUUCAUAUGGAUAAUAGAUUUAAUUUUUAAUAUUUAUAUAAAAUUUGAAAAAAAAAAAAUGGUUUAAAAAGGAGAUAUUGGUGCUAGAAGGUUAGCAUUAAGGUUGGAAUAGAAGUCCGUCCAACAUCCAAUUGGCUUAUCUUUCAUUUCUCUCAAUUAGUAAGUGUAAUCAAUUUUAUUUUUCUUGUGCUUGUUUCUAACUAAGUUAUUAAAAAGUGUACAAAAUUUGAGUUGAUAUUAAUUAUUUCAUCAUUAAUUAUUGAGGUUUUAAUUUGCUAUAGGGUUUAUUGAGAGCUUGCUUAAGAUUUAGAAUUUGAUUAAGAUUUGCUUAAGAUUUGGUUUAGGAUUUAUCUAAGGUUUAGGGUUUCAUUAGAAUUUCAUUAGGAUUUGACCUAAGAUUUGGUUACAAUUCAAUUAGGAUUUCAAUUAGGGUUUAAUCUAGGAUUUGGUUAAGAUUCAAUUAAGAUUUCAAUUAGGAUUUGAUCUAGAAUUUGAUUAAGAUUCAUUAAGAUUUUAGUUAGGAUUAAAUUAGGAUUUAAUUAGAAUUUAUUUAAUAUUUUUAUCUUUAUUAUUUCUUUAGGAUUCUUUGUUGUUUCUUUAAAAAAAAUUAUUUUAGAUUAGUCAAAAUUUGAUUAGGAUUAUUAAGGUUUAUUUAAAGUAUAUUUAAGAUUUUAUUAGACUUGAUAGGAUUGUUGUUGCAUUUCUACUUACCUUCCACAACUAGGUGUUUAAUGCAUUUUCAAGCAAGAACACAUGUACUACAACAUUGUCUAAUUUUUUUUUUCAGCCAUAUUUUUAAAUUCAAAUUCUUUUUGAAGAACUUGGCUCUUUUGCUGCAAAAAAUAUAUCCACACUUUUCUACUACAAUUGUCAAUCAAAAGUAAAAUAUAUCUAUUUCUUCCUAUCAAUAGAACUAAGAGAGGGCCACAAAUAUCAGCAUGAAUCAACUCCAAAAUCUGAAUACUUCUUGUAUGUGAUUUUUUGGGAAUGGAUUCUCUUGUUUGUUUUACUAUAGUAUAGUAUUAGUAGACUACACGUUUUAUUAUGAAUUUUGGUAUCCCCUAAUGACAACCUUCUAUUGCCAUAUUGAUCAAUGUUUGUAAACUUACAUGACUAAGUGUACAAUGCCACAAAUAAAAGAGCCUUGAGUCUAAAUCUAAUAAAAUCUGUAUUUCAAAAUGAACUAAAAUAUCAUGAGUUUCUAGUGCCAAAAUUAUUGCCACCACCACCUCCUUCUAAAGAUGAGGAAGCCCAAGAAGAGAAACUUGAAUACCUUAUAUACAUCCUCUCAAUGUCAAUUAAACCAAGUCUACAUGCUAUGCCUAUUGAGUUUUCAGAACCAAAACGGUUAUGGGACUUUUUGAAAACUUCUUUUAAAAAGGAAACUUGAUCUAAAAAGCAGUCAUCGGAUUCAGAUGACUGUGCCAUUGGCACCGCAUUUGCCGCGGACGAAGGCAAUGACGCACUAUUUGAAGCUGCCAUCUCAUCCUUGGAUAUUAACAAAUCCAAUUCUGGGUGGUAUCUCGACUGUAAGGCCACUUACCAUAACGGAAAUCCGGAUUACUUUGAUAGUUUAGAGGUCUUAAGAGGCAACAUGAAAACUACAAGCGGCCAUAAUCAUCUGAUUACAGGCCGAGAUAUUGUUCAGUUCAAUCUUCCAUUUAGUGAAAUAAGGAAAUAUUCGAUAUUUUAUACGUUCUAGGCCUGACAAAAAAUUUGCUCUCCAUCAUAUCCUUUCCUAAUAAUAGGAUAGUUGCAUAUUUCAAUAAUCAGAAAACGCUCUCUAUAUAACAUGGGACACAGCAGACUGGUUGCGGAAAAAGUCCAAAAUCACAAAAAUGGGUUGUAUAAACUCAUUUCAUGCCACUCAACCCUCGGCCAAUCUUAUGGAAUUGGAUCUUUACACCGUGCGCCAUUGGCACUGUAGGCUUGGACAUCCCAGUUCUUCUCGGCUACAUGACGUCACAAUUUGCAAUAUGGCAUCCGGGAUGCCAUAUAUCCCACUUCUCAACACCAUGUGCGGCCAUUGCCAAGCAGGAAAGCAAAUCCGAGAGCGUUUUCCAAAAUCCAACAACCAUCAAGCAAUCAAACCGCUUAAACUACUUCACAUAGAUUUGUGCGGUCCACUUCCGAUUUCAUCUUUAGGCAGAUCGAAUUACAUCUCAGUAAUUGUUGAUGAUUGUACCAGGUACACAUGAGUCUGUUUCCUCCGAUACAAAUCACAAACGUUUAAAAAGUUCAAACAAUUCAAAUCCAUGAUCAAACUCCAGCUAAACUAACAGAUUCGAACAAUAUGAAGUGACCACGGGGGUGAGUAUCUCUUCCAUGAAUUCACUCACCUCUACUACAGUAUUGGGAAUCAACGGCAGCUAACAAAUGCAGCGACUCCCAAACAAAACGGCAUUGUGGAAAGGACAAAUUGAAAACUAUUGAAGAUGGCACAAAGCAUGAUCAUACAAGCCUGAAUGCCGAACAACUUAUGGUCCGAGGCAAUCAAAACAAUCGUCUUCCUACUUAACCGGCUACCAACAAAAGCGCUUAACCAGGUAAUUCUCUUCCAAAAAAAAAUUGACAAAUCGCCAGACCUUUCUUUCUUGCAAAUCUUUGGUUCAAAUAUUUAUGUUUGAGUAGAGCGGGAUCACCGAAACAAAUUGGAGCCAAAAACAAAAACCAACGUCUUUGUUGGAUAUUACGACGAGACUAAGGGCUUCCGGAUAUAAAUGUGAGAGGAUCACAAGCUUAUUAUAUCUCGAAACGUUUGGUUUGACAAAAACAACAUACUGAUCCGCAUACCAUCAGCUUACUAACAAUUACAUUGUGCUUUGGACUCGGUGGCCAUAACUCAACCACUGAUCAAUGACGCAGCAGACCGCUCAAAACCAACCUGUAGUCUUGCACCUCCACCUAUAUCUAUAAUUUACGAACAAAAAAAUUUCAACUCAACAACAAAACUUGGUGCUCUCAACUAUAGCCGACGACCAUGCUAAACCUCAUAGAAUUUCUGCUCCAAACAAGAAGACACAACACCCUCUGUAUCUUCUUCUGGAGAAGACAUCCUCUUCGACCGAGGCACCUCAAAACUCUCGCUCUUCAUUGAAAUAUUCAACCACAGAAAGGAUUCAUCCAAAAGUCAAGCUCAGAAUUGAUGCAACGUCGCCAAAAACAACUACAAGCUCAGAAGCAGCAUCUGCGCUUGAAGCUCAAAACAAAACAAAUUAGUUAAACACAUCAAGCCUUCACUUCUAUCCAACUAAAUCUCACAACAUAAAAAAAAAAUAAUCGACUUACUAUUAGACUGGAUCAAGAACCCACCAGAGACAUUCUCCCCACAUCAUGAAAUGUCACCUUUAUAAUUCCUUCGAUCUCGAACCCAGAUCCUCACCAUACCUUGAGGCAACAAAAUACACACCACUAGGAACUUCAAUUAUUAGAGACUCCAAGAGCAAGGAAAUGUUGGAAGAUUACAUGAAAGACCACUUAGAGCUUUGUUGUUAAUUUAUCCAUCCCAGAACAUUUAGGCUCUACAAACAAACAAAUGAUGAAUUAUCCACAGUAUAUGUACCGCACUUUGGUGCAUUGAUAAAUACAACUGUUAUUCUUGUUAUUAGAACUACGGGUUAAGCUUGAUACAUUGCUUGUAUGUAUGUAUGUGUGUUCAUAGUGUUAUGCACAAUCCUAAUAUCAGAGUUACAGAGUCACUGUUCACUAAGUGGUUUUAUGUCAAUAUUCCAACAUUUUCCUUGUUCCAUUUGUCACGCAUCAAGUCCAUGUCAGCAUCCACACCACCGUAAUUAAUCAAUAUGAAACGCCAUACUUGGAUCACACUUUGGUCGAACUCGUGUUGCUACAACCGAAGAGAUUAGGCUCCAAAGGACAAGGUAUAUUUGCAUUGAUGAAGCUUCAUAGGACUACGCGGCACGGCUUGAGGAGAAGAAUCAUCUACCCCUGCUCGGACAAUCGACUGAAUCAUAUAUUCCUUUCCAUCUUGAUUGUCAUGGCAGUUGAUGCUUGGCCCUGAUUUAGAGUGCAUGUAACGCAUCCUGCAUCCUACAAAAGUUUGGUACAGGACUUGCACCAUGUCGUAGCAUCGGUCAAAGUUUAAAUUUUGUAGCAAAGUUGAUUUGUUACUGACACUGCGGUUUCGACAAAGGGUGUGACCGAGGUGAAAGAAAGAGAGAAAGCACGAAGCACGUGAACUUUUCUCAGGGAUUCUACAUAUAAUCUCUCAACAACAGUGAGAGGCAACAUUCUGCGACCACGUGGUAUAGACAAUUUCCUCCUUACCUUCUUUCCAAGUUGCACAACUUGCUCUUCUUAUGUUGCUCUAUCAUUAUAUAUCAAAGUUAAGAGUUGAAAAGGUUGGUGUUAGUGGCAAUGGAAUUUCGUGAUAGUCAGUUGUAAUGGCAUUGAGCUACUGCUGAAAUUAAUUCUAGUCACUUGUGCAUAAAACUAUUUACACCAAUAUCAUAUUUUGGCUCUUCUUUGUAAUAAUAAAUUGUUUCUUUUUAAUCCUUUGCCUUAGCCCUCCCCCAGUUUUAUUUAAGACUCCCUUGCCAUUUGUUCUCUUUAGUCCUAAGUUUUGAUCUUAGCAGGAAGGUGCAAGUGUAGCUAAAAUUGCCCAAAUUCCAUUCAUGGAGGAAGAAGAAAAAUUACCAUGGUACCUUUUUGGACUUGGUCCACAAAGAAAGCAAACCACAACCCACUGAGGCUACAUUGGAAAAAAUAUUACUAAAAAGAUAUGCACAAAAUUACUUUGGUUUUUUAAUACCUGCUCUUUUUAAAUAAAUCAAAGUAGAUAGUGAAAUUAUAAAGGAAAAAAUUUAGUCUUUUUUUAUAUUACACCAUAUUAAGAAUUUCUACCCUUGAAACUCAUAAUUCUAACUUUGAUCCAAAAGUUGUAUAGAAUCCAAAGAUAGUUAAAGGAAUUAGAGCAAUAAAAACCUCUACGUGGAUAUUUUUAAAAAAUUUACAUAAUCAAUCCUUAAAAAUAAUCUCUUUAGUAGCUAUUUAUUAUAAAAAAAAAAGUAUUAAAAGAAUGCUAAGACGAAAAAAAUAUAUAUUUAAAUAUAUAUAUAUAUAUAUAUAUAUAUAUAUAUAUAUAUAUUGUUAAAAAUACAACAAAAAGAUAAAAUAAAAUAAAACUAUACAAUAAUUUAGUAGUAGCUUUGCAUAAAUUUAAUAAAAUAAUUAAUAUAUAAAAAUAAUAAUUAAUAAAUAAAAUAACUUGUAUAGAUUUUAUAGGUAAUAAUUUUUAUAUUUUAGAAAUAAAAAAACAAAAAUUACAUCAACAUAUAUAGCAUGUAUAAGAUUAGUGAUGAGUGACAGUUGGUAGUAAAAUUAUUUAUAGUUAUAAAAUUUAGUAUCUAAGCAAGUGAGUAUCAAAUUUAUAGCUUUUAAAUGACUUAUAUAAUUAUUUAAAAUUAAAAUUAAAAUUUUAUUUAUAAUUUUUUUCUUCUAUAAUUUUAAAAAAUAAAAAUAAAAAUGAUAGAAUAAUAAAAAAUAAUAAAAAAUAGAAUAAAUAUUAAUAUAAUUUAAAUUAAACUAAAAAUUUUAUGAAUAUUAUAUAAAGCUUUUAUCUUUAAAUUAUUUAAUUAAACAUAUAUAUAUAUAUAUAUAUAUAUAUAUAUAUAUGAGGUUUUAAAAGAUUUUUAUAGAAUGUAGUUUUUUUAAACAAGAUUAACAAAUAAAAAGUAAAAAAUUACUAAAGAAGUGAAUUUUAACUUUGCUGAAAAUUUUAUCAAUAGUAUUGAUUUUAGAUUUCUAGAUUUUAUUAAAAAUAUAAAAAUAUAAUAUUUAUUUUUGAAGCAUUUUAAAUUUAAAGGAUUUAAAUAAAACAAAAUAAAAUAUCAAUUAGUUAUGCUUACAAUAAAAAAAUUAUGCAAUGGUCUAGUAAACCAUGAAAUAUAAAUAAUUUAUCUAAAUAGAUAAUUCCAAUGUAUGAUAUAAAAUUUAAAUAAAAAAUAUCAAAAUAUAAAUGAAAUAAUAAAAAAUAAAAUAAUUUUUAAAUUUUUUGCCAUAAACCUCAUAUUGAUAAAAUAAAUUUUAAAAUUUAUUUAACUUUAAAAUAUGACAUACCACCAAAAAUUAUGAAAAAUGGCCAUUUCAAUUGAUUUAUUGUAAAUAUUAUAUAAAACUUAUAAGUACAAUUUCACAAUAUUAUAUAAUAUAUUGUCUAUUGUAAAAAAAAUUAAUGAGUUAAUUUAUGAUAAGUAAAUAAUAUAAGAAAAAUCUAAAAUCUAUUAAAUUAUGACUUUAUUACAAUUUUAGCUAUACAAUUUUUUGCAACAAAACAUCUACGAAUAAAAUAGAAUUUGGUUCUAUAAAAAUAAUUGAUAAAAUCAUGACUUAAAAGUGUAGAUAGUAUAGGUUUUUCUAAUUUGUUUAGUUUAUGUUCUUUUCUUUUUUAGUUCUUCUAAUAAACAUUAAAUUUAAUUUAAUUUAAAUAAUAUAUUUGUAAAAACUUUAAAUAAGCACACUUCAAAUAUAUUGAAAUCUCUUUUGAAUUAAAGUUUAAAAAUAACUGGUUCAAAUAAUAAAUAAUAAUUUAUAUAUAUAUAUAUAUAUAUAUAUAUAUAUAGUUUUUUUAAUAAGAUAUUUUUUGUAAUAUAAUAUUGUUCAACAAGAUAUUGAGUGACAAGAUUAUCUUAACAUGAAUUAACUUUUUAUCAUAUAUAUAUAUAUAUAUAUAUAUAUAUACACAAUCUUAUAGAUGCUAUUACAUUUUGAUCUCAAUUUUUGAGCAGUAUAAAAUAUUCUUCUUGUAUAAACUUUUUUUUUUCUUCUUUUCUUUUAUUUUGAAAUUUUCAAAAUAUUAUAUAUGUUUAGUAAUAUUUAUGUUUCUAAAAGUAUUUUUGAUAAUUAAUUAAAUUUAAACUAAUGUAAGAUUUUUUUUGUUACAUGUAAUAAUAAAAGAUUUAUAUAGUUAUCUAUUUUUUAUUGAUUAAAUUUAAUUUUAUAUAAUAAUCUUUAUAGUUUUAAAAAAACUAGAAACAGAUUAUCUUUUCUUCUUUUACAUCUAAUAAUGCAAAUAAUAGAACUACAAUUAAUUUUAAUUAGAAAUAAAACUUAAGUAUAUAUUUUAUUAAAAUAGUUAAACAAAAAAGUAUUGAAUUUUAAAGACUAAAUAUAAAGAAGAGGUUUGUAAAAAUAACAGUUAGAAUUCAAUAUAAUAAAUUCAUAACUAUUAUAUAUAUUUUUAUAGAUUAAAAUACAAAAUUCUAAACUCUAAGUGAAUAUAUAUAUAUAUAUAUAUAUAUAUAUAUAUAUAUAUAUAUAUAUAUUUAUAUAUAUAUAUAUAUAUAUAUAUAUAUAUAUUUAUAUAUAUAUAUAUAUAUAUAUAUUUAUAUAUAUAUAUAUUUUAACACAUCAAACAUAAUCAUAUUCAUUAAAAUAUAGGAAAUUUCUUCCAUAAAAAAAUACAAUAAUCACAUAAGAAUUUAAUAUAAAUUAUAAUAGAAAAAAAUCUAAAACCAAACAUUAUAUUUAUAACAUCUAUUUUUAUUUGAUAUGUUAAUAUAACAAAACAUAUACAAUCAUAAACACUUUUUUAAAAAAUAUUACUUAUUCUUUUACAAAUAAAAAAUAAAAGUUCAAAGCUAUAAGAAUAAAUAGAUUAAAAAAAGUAUAAAACUGGUUAUAUGAAUCUCUACUAGUCAAUUAAGUAAAAUUUAUUUGUACCAAUUAUUAGAAUAAAUAAUCAAGAUAUGUAUGGUAACUAUUAUAAGAUAUGACAACUUAUUAUUUAAUAAUUUAAAUCUAUUUUUUUAUGUAGUACCUAAAUCAAAACACUGUAUCACCAAGAAUAGCUAAAUCAUCAAUUUGAGUAAUAUUAUCUUAAGAUCUUACAUAUUUGUAGAAUUCUAUGCCAAAUUUUUAAGAAAUAAACCAAAUACAUUAUAAAAUUAAAAUCCCAAAAUAUGUUUAAUAACAAUCAAUAUAAAUAAAGUAUUAAGUGAGCAAUAAUUUACAUACAAGUGACAUUUUAAAAUGGUCAAUUUCAUUAGAAAGUUUCACCUCUUGACACUUUUUCUUUUAAGUGUCAACAGGUGAAAUUCUUUAUUGAAAGUUGUCUGAAAUUUGUAACAUCUAUUAAAUAAGAAUCUAUUAUUGAAUUUAAAUUUCAAAACCUAAAAAUAGUUCACUUGCACAAAAAUAUAAAUAAAUAAAAAAGAACAUCACAUACAUAGUAACAUCAUAAAAAAUAUAUAUUUGAACUUAAUAUAUCAUUUCGAUUAAGAAUGUGAUUGAGAUACUAUUUACUUUCAAGUGUGAUAAUGCUUUCAUAUGCAGCAAGUCAUACAAUCUUUUAUGCAUCCAUUGUUUUCACAAAUAUAUAUAUAUAUAUAUAUAUAUAUACACAUAUAUAUAUAUACACACAUAAACUAUGAUUAUUGAAAUGAAACAAAACUAACCUGAGUUGUGAUAUCACGUUCCUUCAGGGCUGAUUGUAAUCAGAAUACUUGUGCUCAUUCCAGAUUGCUGCAUGAAGAACCGCAGUUGUAGAUCCACCGAAGGAUGCUUGUUCGCUGUUGGCGGCGCUUCAGAAUCUGCUCAUGGACCUUGGGAUUCUCGUUUCUUCAACUACUGGGUUCCUGUUUUUUUGACAACAAAAGCGGCAUCAAGUUGAUGAAGAACCCAUUUUGUCAUAACUAGAAAAAAGACCCUUAAAUAUUCACUGCCACCGCAACUGUGAGAUGGUUGAAGAUGAUUCAGUAUCUUCACCAGAGCUUUGGGUCGCAUCGACUUUGAAGACUCACACUCCAUUGCGUGAUUAAGCUCCUCCCUCAGACUGUCGCGUAUGCAUCACAGGUCAUUCGUCUAGGAUGGUCCCAGGUCGUCUUCAUAUUAUCAUAUUGUCAGGUCUUUAAGGUGCUGUUGAGAUUUCGUUACUGCACAUUCACAUCAUGCUCCAUUUUGUUCGCUUUUAUCCCCCACAAGUUCUGAAACCCCCCCCCCCCUUUCCCUUCCCCUGCGAGGGAGGGGAGGGAAGGUAAGGAAGAACCUCCGAAGUGAAAACAAGGGUCGUCCCAUGUUGUAACUCUUCAAUAUGAUACAGACCUUGAUUCAUCAACACGACUCUCUAACAAACUUCAUGAUUCUCUUCCAGUUGUGUUAACAUACCAAUAGUAUUGACGUUUGAAUAGGCGUUAGAAUGCUCUACUCAAUGAAAUUCCAACGUCGACUUAGGUCGCAGUGGUUAGCAAACGAAGACUGAUUUGGAAGUUCCUGCUUAGGAUUAUUUAAGUUAUUCCUGCUGAUAUGAUAGAUUCUAGGAAAAAAUAUUGGCACCGUUGCAUAUUAAAAUCUUUGAAAGAUAUGAAUAUACCUCACCUGGCAUAUCAUGCAAGAUUUUAGAUGCAAAGAUGAGGUCAAUUAGCACAAGGUUCAUGUUGCAAGCACAAGGACCGAGUCCAAAUGGGACGUAGGUCAAUAGGAGUUCGACCAAGGAUAAUGCCACGCGAGAGGACUGCCAUGGUAGGUGGACCUCCUGUGAUCCCACUUCAUGCUACGGUCACUGCUGGUGUCCCUGCUCUAACUCUUACGACUUUGCUGUGGUCAUAACAAUGCCCUAUCUGAGUAACUCUGAAAUAAUUAUUUGUACAUAACUGUUGCCUCUGAAAUCCCUUCAAUAGGUGUUGUGAAGAAAGAGAAAGAGAACGCACCUAAACGGUUGUGGGAUGUAACGUUCCACCUCAAAACAAAAUGAUCAACACCUAACUGUUUGAUUGUGAAAGAGUGUGAUGUACGAUUUUCCUUGAAUUAGUAAAUUGAUCCCAGCUAGGACAGAAAAAACAAAAGUGCGUUGAUCCAGUUGGACCACAUAGGCCACAAUCCUAGGGGAAAGGCGAUUUUAAAUACAUGAAAGUUUCUGAACAAACUUCAGGAGCUAAUGUGGAGAUUUUUCAUAGCCUGCUCUGAACACAUCUACUCGAGCUUGGCAAGUCAAAACUCCAGAUAUUGACAGUUCUAAAAAUAGAAAGAAAUCGAAGUCCACGAAAUGAUUCAUGGCAUGAUUGAAAUAGGGCCUGAGGUCGAUCUAUUUACCGAUAAACGGCAGUAAACAUUUCCACUUCAACUAUACAAGACGUACUAUCUCACAGUGCCAAGACUUGGCAUGCACCCCGUGGUAGUGGAUCAGAGAACCGAAUUUUGAGGGUAAUAUCUUCGUAAAACUUCAGGGAGGCAGACGGUUUUGCAGGUUCGGUCUUGGAAUCGCUCACCUCCACGACAGCUACAGCUGCUCGGGUUGCUCCUAUCCGAGGCUGCAAACCUGUUCCAACAAUACAAAGCUUCCCACCAAGACUCACAAGCUCCGGGCCCCAUGCCAGAACAGGCGCAGAAUCCUCCAAAACCCCCUUGAUGGUUUCCCAAGCGUCCUUCCUCUCAUUAUAUACAGAGAUUUCAUUCUUGCCUUCAAGUGAGUGUGAAUCCCCAACAGCGUACAACCUACCAUUCAUAGCAGCAGUUUUGGAUUGCCAACCUAUUCAAAUCACAAAUAUUAGUUAAAUAUGAGACUGCUAAUGCAAAAGAUACAGUUCAGUGUCCAACAUUUUAUGGUUACCAAUGUAUUCUCUAGAUAUAUCUAACUCACUCGACAAUUGAAAUCUCAUGUUUCAAAUAUUACAUGAAAAAACGUUCCAGAGUUGGUGCAUUCACCUGUGUUAAGACCAUGGGCCAUGUACACCCAUUCAUCUUGCUUUGGGUCGUAAACAAGCCCAACCAAAUUCUCGCUAGAAGAGUUCACCACGUAAAAUUUGUUGCCAAGAACGGCAGAGUCAUAAAGCUCCAUGGAGAUCUUCAUUGAUGAGAUGAGGCGCCAUUCGUUCUUAACCGGGUUGUAAGCUUCGGCAGUUGGUCCUGCGUCCUGGUCACGUUCUGUGAACCCUCCUACGACAUACAGCUGGUUGUUGAUAACACCUGCUGAUGAAGACCAUUGUAUAUGUGAUCACAACAUCGUGGAGAACAUAACAGGGCACACCUUAAACAUUGACAUCGACAUCAUCAAGAUAGUACCCGUUUUAGGCUAUGAAUUUAAGGAAAUUAAACUUGCUAAUUAGAUGUGAACAACUUAGUAAUAAUAGAAAGGCCAGGGUUCCUGAAUAUGAUCGACCUGCCAUGCAUUUGGCCCGUGCAAUGGUCAGAGGGGCUGCAGAUUUCCAGGAGAAGUGUUGCAUGUCAAAGUAUGAAACACAGCUACAUGCAUUGCCAUUGUCCAGCUGCCCACCUACCACAAACAGUUUCCCAUCCACCACCGCAGAAGCGGAGUUCCCAGCAGUGCACUGUUCAUUGGGCAAAGGUGGAAGCGUAAACCAUCGAUUCGAUUGCGGGUCAUACCCAUGCCACACGUUGGCUCUUGAGGAAUCCUAAUAAAAAGAAAAAAACAUGCGAACAGGCAGUGUUGAGGCCAUUACUCCAUUCUUCUAAGAAAUUUCACUCUCUUCAAUCCGAAAACUCAAGCUGGAACCGUACGGGUUCAACAAACUAGUAGAAGUGAUUGUCCUUCACUUCUAAAGCAUAAUUGACGAAGAGAGGACAAAGGAACUGGUGCUCACACUGGGGUGCUAUGCAGAAAGAGAUACCUGAGUCCACAAAAAGAGCCAUUCUUCAGUUAGAGACAGCUCUUGUCGGAUGUCAUAAAAAACACCAGUUUGUAAGAGGCGUCGCCAACUUCGACAAACUGCACUAAGAACUGCAUGUUGAGCUCGUGGUACUCGUGCCAAGCAAAGAAGAGCAAGCUCGUCUGGAAGUGAAGGUAUCAGACCCCGGUAUGGUUCUUCCUGUUUUGAUCCUCUACGCCUUCUAGAACCGCCCUCGGAUGCCAUUGUUGAUCGUGUCUAACCAGUUUAAAGAAAGAAAAAUCAGUAAUUUUUCUUUCUCGAAUAUGCAUUACCCUAAACCAGUUCAAGGAGAAGGCUUUUUUAAAAAAGAGAAAAAUGUGCGAGAGGUGAAGUACAUUGUUGAGAACGUGCUUAUUAAACCAGUUAAAGAAAUGAGAGGGAGAAAUAUUUGAAUGUCGAACGUGACUUUGAAUCCAAUGGCUUUUUACGUGAAGAAAUAAUAUAGGAAUACAAACUCUGAAACAGAACCACUAAAAUUAUUCAUGUAGCCUCCAAACCAGAGUUUAAAAUAAAGACCAUGCUACAGUUGAUGCUCUAAGGAAUUGAAGUUAGAAAGGAACAUUAAUGCCUCCUUCUGAAUGGUAAAUUAUCAAGCAUGACGAUGUUCUGUGCCUAGAAUAGGGCACAAUGUACCCACCUGGACUUUCAUCCCCUUCUGUCUGGACGACAUCAGUUCCUACAAGCUUAUUAAUUUUCUCUCUCAGGUGGAAAGCCUCAUCCAGAGCCUUUGCAAAUUUACACGUAUCUUCUAAACCGCGCGUGAGCCAUGAAAUGUAAUUCUCCAAGCAAGACCUGUUCUGGAAAACAAAGACUCAUGUCGAUCACACAUUAUAUACGUACAUAUCUACAGAAAUAGCCUAAAACUGGAACAAGCGCGUACACAAGUCACAAAUAGAGGCCAUAAUUCGCAAAUUACUAUUCUCGAGCCGCUUACAAUGUUGCUCUAUCGUUGAUCCUGGAUGUACAGUCCGACCCUAAAAAUCACAUCGUAGAAACUACGGAGAUCCUAUCUUGGCUGCGUGAGUAGGAACCUUACACGCUAGUCACACAACUCGCCCACUGUCCAUUGCGCAGACAUCGUCACUCUGAGCAUAUAAUGUACACGGAACGCAAUUCAGAAACACUGUUUCGAAAAAUGGCUGCUUGCGCGCGAACUUCACAAAACAUACAAAUCCUAAUAGUAAGGAAAGGUUGUAAUUAGCAUCUGUGAGACCCUCACCUCCAUUCACGUUCACAACCAUAUUCUCCCGUGUUCUGCGCAUCAUUCUGUACCAUCCAAAAGCAACAUCAAGACGAAUCAAGUCCUCAGUAUUCAUGGCUGUCCCUAAGAACAAAAUUGCGAUUACGUCAGAGAAAGCUACAGUAAAAAAUCCCACAGAAGUAAAGCCAGGACACAAUUCACACCAUAGCAUGGUCAAUUGCAUCAACCAUGACACAAUCAAGAGUGCCCGCUCUAUAAGAGCAACAACAAAUUGGCGACAUCGUAAUUCUCUCAUACGCUACCGAUCCCCAGCUAGAAACAUCUAAAGGACAUCCAAACAUUCCUACCCUUAUAAUUAAGAGAAGAAAUAUACCAAUGAGCCGCACCUCACCUUCGUCUCGUGCACAACAUUCUCAACUAUGCUUGAUACAUCAAUAAUCUUCCAAAGCGUUAAAAGUCUCAAGCCCUCUCACCCCAUUCUCACCCAUCCACAUAGAAGCCUUCGUAACAAAAACAAAUUGGCGAUGAAACCCAGAGGGCGAUCCAGAUACCAAACAUACCAACACAUCCACCCACAACAUGCCAAAACACCACCGACUUUUUCUCCGCCUCUGGGUGCACACAUACAGACUCCAAUUGAUAACCACCUAUUCAAGCUGCAAUUCAACCAAGAAAGUACUCCGCACGCAACACACCCACGACCGUCUCCACUUUCCUGUGACCUCUUCCCCUCACCAUGUAUCUUACUCUCGCUCUGCCCUUCCGCUACGAUCCUCCCCACGAUCCCUCAACGCAAACCCAAUAAUGAGCACUCGCAAUUGGCCAAGGAUUGCGUAGAACGACGAGUGCUUGGAUCACCAGCAGUGCUGCACAAGGCUCUCAUCAUCAGUGCAUCAGGCCCCCGUUACCCGCUGAGUGCCUUUACCACCGGUAACUCGUGAUCCCCAUGGGUAACACACACCGUCGUCUAGUAACACCCACUGACUGCUGGUCGUCAUAGAGCCUGGAGAAUGGCUCCUUCGACGGCCCCGAUUGGGCUUCUUGUCGUUUCUUUCAGACCCAGUUCACAAAUUGACCAAACUCUCUGCAGUUUUCUCGUCCCCCAUCCCCGCCCCCGUUCCCCCUGUCCAUCCCUCACUUUCCGAUGCAACACCCACCGUGAGAAAAUCCUUCGAUGUGGUCAUAUGCCUCUAACUUCCAUAUGGUUGAGGAUACCAGCAAAAGAAAGCCAGCACUUCUUCCCUCCGGCUUUUCCUAACGUCAUCUCUUCAGAUAGUUGCAAUGCGUUUGCUUGUGAGGGCUCACGCACUCGCGUAGAAAUCAUGAUGACUUGUCUUCCUAUAAAUGGUGCCGAGGAUUCGCAGAGAUGGUGUUGAUGUGGGCACGUAAUUGAGAAUAAGGCCCCUCGAAAUCGGGUCCCAAAGGAGGAGGUUUGGCGAACUCCACAAAAGGUAUGAUUCCAUAAACAGCUAAACUUGGAGUGAAGCAAGAAGUUACGACAUAAGUUUAAAUAAAGUGCCCCAAGAGAUAUAACAGAAGGAUUAAUCGAAAUGGGUGAUAUUCUCGGAGGGCGAAGGAUGCAGAUUUCUACAGAAAGCCUCAAAUCUGGCAUACUGCGCAAUCAACUAUUUGGAAUUGUUGGCACAGGAACAUUGAAGAUGGCUCGUUGUCAUUAGGAAAUGCAAAGUGACAAUUUUGAGAAGCUUCUUCAUGCCUUUAUUGAGAGUAAGGGCUGGAACGCAUAGCAAAAGAUGUCAUGUAACUGAGGUGAUCAUCUUUUCGUGUCACAUCGCCGGAAACUUAGGCCACUGGAAAAUGAGAAGUUGGUAUAGAAUACGAUCAUUUCUAUAUACAAUGCCUCUGUUUACCUUAAACGCAAUACAAAUGCAACAGCUACGGCCACAAUGGCAGCAACUCCAAACCGUGAUAAGGCAAUCUCUUUCCAUGUUUGUGGACCAGUGAUGAUGGCUUUCAGCUUGUCGACAUGCAUUUUUGUAUCCUCGAGGGUGCCGGAGUUAUCAAUGACAUAGUCGGCCAUCUCACGCUUCAUGUCCAACGGAAGCUGGGAAUCAAUCCGUGCUCGCGCUUGCUCAAUAGUGCUGUUGUCGCGCUUUGUCAGCCGCGCUUCCUGCGUGGUGCGAUCCACCCACACCACCACCACUGGGUUGGUGAGAUAAUUCAUUUUCAUCUCAAAAAGUAGCGGAAUGUCCAUUAUCACCACUGAAGUACCCCGUAUCCAAUGUUUGAAAACCUCGUACAAGAGACCGAGAGAAAUACAUGGUUGCAAUGCCCUGUAAAAGAUAGACCACCAUUUAGACCUUGAGCUAUCAUGAUUUUAAACUAAUUGACGGAGGAGGAGGUAUUCCCGUCACCUAUGACGGCGUUCAUUUGAAUUGAAUAACAAGACAAUCAACGUCGUCAACUUCACUUCAAUAAUUGAUUGAUUCAGGGUAACGUAGCAGUACCGAUUGAGCAUGCCCCUCUUGGCAGGAUCGUUAAAGAUUAUUUCACCCAGCUUCGCACGGUCCACUUCCCCAUCCUGUCGUAGUAUGCCUUCCCCAAAAGCGGCCACUACUCUCUUCCAACCCCAUGUGUUCUUGUCCAAUGCCACCUGAAGAGACAUGGCCAGCGAAUUCAAUCUCAGUGCCUUAAGUUCUGCCCUUGAGGCUAAUAUUGCUAAUCUUAGCUCCUAAUGUAAGAGAGUAAAGAAACUAGGUGUAGAUGUACUCGGGGAUGAAAUUGAUUUAAACCCCUUUGAAACGAAAUUCUGCUGAAACAUUGAAAAUCUCGUUGUAGUUGCAUUGUGCUGGACAAAGUCACAUAAAAGAAACGGCUCACUCCCGAUAAUUGGAAAAACACAGCUUUCUCGGAUAAGACCUAAUUUUAUGAAGCAUUCAAAGGGUUUGUAUGAAAAGAUGAGAAUUCAAGUACUUGGUAAGGUUAAGUUCGAUAGACCACUAAGCAGAUCGAAACCCUAAACCUGAUAACAAAUCCACACAAAGUGCUUCGCAAUGGUUGCAGAAAGGCAGUUGGGUACGAAAAAUACCCUUGCAACCUUGUCCGCAUCCACGACUGGCAGUCCCUCACUCUCCAAGUGGCGAGAGACAGUACUCUUGCCAGAUGCAAUCCCACCUGUAAGGCCUAUCAACCUCAUCUGCACAACUCCCGGGUUUGCUGCUCCAACCUCAGGAUUGUUUUCCCGUUGUGACUCAAAACUUGGGUGGGCAAUUCCGCAAUUCUCAACUGGAUACGACGCUCCUCCACAUGCGCUGCUCCUCGGCGAUUUCUUUACAGUGAAAGGAAAAGACAGUUGGCGCAUUUCCUGAUGACGAAAGCCGGAGUUUAUCGUCCAAUUUGAGACGAGAGUUCUUAUCUAGGAGCGACGUGGAAGGCCAGGAGAGACGCUCUCUGGAUUUCGCCUUUACAGUCUCGCUUUCUUGCAAUCGAUCCACUGUUGACGAUCUUGUGGCAACCACAAUUGGGCGGCAUUGGGUGCUAUCGUUAGCAGAGUUUGCUAAAACACUUGGAGUACGCUUCAAGAGCCUAACUAGUCAUCUCUCUCUCCUUCCCGUACCCUGUAGUUCCUCUUGCUUCGACUUUCAGUUGCACGGUAUCGUACUUACAGGUGGGUAAACACGCAGUGUAGGUUCAUGUUUCUCGUCCUCUCUGUGUUUGUGAUUAUAAAAACGACGAAUUAAAUCGAUUCAGACUUGCAUUGUAGUUGUUAGAUUUGGUACUUGCAUUGCUAGGCAUUGUGGGUUGCUCCCGUUUUGGAUGACACUGCCGGAUUCUUACUUCCGGUAUGUAAUGUGAGGUUUAGAGAGCUAGGAAACUCUACUUGUAGAGAAUUUUUCAACAUUGCUACCAUUGGCUCAAUCAAAUGUUUCCUAGAACCUGGUCACCUCUGCACUAUUUUUUGAACUUAAAUUCAACUCAAUGGUACCUAGGAAGAAUGCCGUGAGUACGCAGUGAGCAAUUUCUUCUUUAAUUGCUCCUGCCUGCGUGUAGACACAGUCUUGGACAUAAAGAUGUGCAUUAUUUGUGGUGUUUGGAGAAGAGAAUUGUGGGGUGCGCUGGUUUGCCACUUCUAAAAUCCUGGUUUCUCUGCAUAUGUCAUUCGUAUGAAAGGCUUUUAUCUUUGUUAGUGAUUGAUCUUUGCUUCUUGGGUCACAUGAAAGUGGCAUAACUGUAAUCGUUUUAUGUGUUUGCGUAGGGGGGAGGUAUGGCCGCGCUACAGAUUUCGAGCUCCCUCUAUUCUUCGUUGGGCAGGGGAUGCACAACAAGCGUUCUUUCCCACGAGGUACAGUAACUCUGAUAGGUUUGACUCACCAGCUGUAGACUUUAGUUCGUUCCUUAGUUGGUAGAUUGUAUUGUCUAUUGACAUUCCUGCGUUAUGAUUUGCGGGCUGGAAUUGUAGAUACAUGUAAAGCUAUGAUUGUAGUAGCUCUAUUCCACUGGGAAGCCACUGAAGUUGAUUUUGGAGUUGGCAGACAGUUGCACCAGCUAGGGUGAAUGGUGUGGUUGGCAAUUCUCGAAGCCGAGCUGCAGUUUCUUGCAUUAGGGCUUCGACGUCAGAAUCCUGCAGUGGUGAGGAUAACGAAUUUUGCCGAAUUAAAUUCUGUUUUGUUAUUAUUAAGAAUACUUUCUUAUCAUUGCUUCGAACCUAAUAUUCUCCUAGCCUUGGAAUGAUUUGUGUUGAAUCUAAAAAAUGACAUGAGUUCAACUUGCACUAACACACUUGAUGGUGCGGUCAAAAGAGUCUGAGGGCAUGACCCGUAGACAUGUCUUGGGAGGUGCUGCUGCUGUAGCGGCCACCAUAGCUACCUUCGGCGGUCCAGCACUUGCUUUAAGUAUGUUCUGCAACCCUUUGUUUUUUCCAAUACUGCUUGCUUUCCAAUAGGUUUCUACAUUAUUUGUGUCAAGACGAUUUGGAGAAGAAAUUAAACAGAAUCAACUUCGAACCUUUAGGCGAGUCCUCAACAGACACCUAUCUCCCCUUGGUUUCAUAUGGGCACAGCGUGUUUGUGAAGCAUUAUGUGAGUUAAACCAGUAGAUGAGCCUCAGGAUCCAUGGGUUGAUUAGAAUCUCAUCAUCAAUAACACUUCGUAUAGCAUUCCAUACUGGUAUCAAUACUAGUGACACCGACAUGGAUGUUAUUGAUCCUGUGAAGGACUCAUUCCAUGCACUAUAGAAUGUUCUACCACAACCAUGAGAUAGAUGUAAGCAGCAGGAUAGUAGUUAAUGCAAGGCGAUGGUGCGCUGCAGUAUACACAGGCUGCUCUCAUCCCUGCCCAGACGAAGUAUGAUAACUUAGUGGAUUUUUGGGCACUCAUUCCAUGGUGCAGACGCUCCCAAAGGUUAUACCGCUGUUCUGGACAAUGCUGAUGGUUACAAGUUCUUCUACCCCUUCGGCUGGCAGGUGUGGAUUUAACCGCCCAUCCUUCACUAGCACAUUGAUUUCUCUCGUCUCUUUCGGUGUCUUAUGUAAUCACUAGCUUUGAUAGAGAUUGAUUGCAUCGAAGUGAUAAUGUGGACUACUCCAGGAAGUUGCAGUGAAAGGUCAGGAUGUAGCUUUUAAGGAUGUGAUUGAGCCUUUAGAGAGCGUGAGCGUGAGCAUUAUCAAGACCGACAAGUCGAACUUAUCAGAAUUGGGGUCUGCAGAUGAGGUCAAUUCCUCUACAAAUCUUUCUUCCCAUCUUGAAAUGAAGCUUUUCAAGUAUGCUAUUGUCAGUCAGGUUCAUAUGCUUUAAAUUUACAAGUGUGUGACGAAUGUGAAGGUUCUCUCCCUUCACACUGAUUCGUCUUUUUUUCCUUUUGACUUCUUCAUAUGCAGGUUGCUAAGGCACUAGUGGAGAGGGUGUUGGCUUCACCAACUCAGAAGACUAAACUUGUCGAAGCUAAAGAGGUAUGCUUCUAAUUCAAAUAAUCACUGCCAAAAGCACUUUUUUUUCUUCGUCUGAAGUGAGGAUAGGGUGGCUAAUUACACUCACUGAAUGUUGUUCGCUUUGUGCAGCGCGUCAACGACGGUAUUUCUUACUACACUUUCGAGUUUAUGACGAAGGCUUCGAACUUUACACGUCAUGGCCUUGGGACUGUGGCCAUUAAAGAUGGUACACUUCGGCUCUCUUCUUAUGAAUUAAGCUUUUCUAUGCCUUGCUGCAGUCCCCACAGUUGACAGCUUUCAAUAUUCCAACGUCCGGACAUCAGCAUGACUUGGGAUCGUCUUUUAUUACAUUGUUGUGUUGCGCCUCGUAUUCGAGAAAAAGAUAUUUAUUAUAUAUCUUGACAUAUAAAUCACUAUUCCGAAUCUGUUAUUCACAGGAAAAUUCUACACACUUACUACCGGUGCAAACGAGAGGCGAUGGAACAAAAUGUCGGACAAACUGAAGAUGAUUGUCAACUCUUUCGAGCUGCUGGUGUAGAAAGCAGUUCAAGUCUCCGAGACCUAGACGUGAACAGUCGGUAUUGUAUUAUCUUUUGCGAUUCCAAAUGAAUUUCUCUAUUCUUUUUCCCCUCUUUAUAUGGCUUAUAUUUAGUCUUGUAUGAAAGAAUCGUCAUAAUUUUGCAAUUGAGAAACAACCAGCCAGGAUUGUUUCAGUUUUAUGUCGUACUGCGGAAUGCUAUGUAAAAGCUCCCUACGAAAGCCUCUCAUGAAAGAGUUUAAGGAAUUGACUCAGUCCUUUUUUGUAGCUGCUACUACUUUCGUUUAAAAACGCUGUGGAUAAAUGAAACCAACCAAUUACGUUCGCUCCCACUUGGCAUCAUGUGUGUGCAAUGAGUCGUGUAAAGGUUGUCAAAAAACAGCAGCAACGGCACCUCCAUAGUUGCAUGGCAAAAAAUGCCUGGCCUUCGAUGAUUAAAACCAGUCCCGUAUGACUCGUACUUUGAAGUAUGCUCACUUGGAAAGUAAAGCCAGCAGCUGUACCUCAGUGCCCGACACACUCCGUUGUAGAGAAAAUGGUGAUGAGUUCUAAAAGUUCCAGUUCAUACCUUCUGUGGGUUUCAAGUCUGUAACACAUCAACCACCUUCCUAUUAUUCUAAUCACUCAGAUGGACCAGAAUCGAACAAAGCCUAAGAAAGGUAUUUCGAGUUGUAAUGAUUCUGUGUGAAAUUGUGUAACUGCCGACUAACAGGAAGCCGAUCGUUUUAGAUGGCACUGCAAUAAUUCAUCAACCACUGAUAAAUUUGGUCAGCCCUUCAGCAGGAGAGAACUCACAGCAGGUAACCUGGCCUCGUGUGUGAGCCCAUUGCGUGAUCAUUGAAUAAAGGGUAUCCUAACAACGCUAGAAUUACGAUGAAUGUGCAAAAUUUGCAGGUAAUUGCUGGUUAAUACAUGAGAAUAUGUAGUAUGUCGGCAAGUGGGUUUUCAUCUGAUAACCGAAGAGCAUCCUCCACAGUUUCCUUCUACCACGUUAAAUCCCCUCUUCCCCUUCCGCUCCUCCCUUCUAGCAAAUAUGUUGUGUAUAGAAUUGUAUGUGCAUAGUUAAAAAAUAUAUACUUAAGUACUUAAUUUGUCCAUCAACCUUGAGCAAUAAUGGAACUUCUGCACAGACUAAAAUCAGUACUUUUCUGCUACUUUGCUUGUGCUCUAGAUAGAACGUUAGUUUAUUUAUUUAUUUAUUUGAUUAUUAAACAUUGAUUAUUUGAAAUAUCUUUUGAUUUAUUACAGUUAGUUUCUAGAAAGCAUUUGAUAACAAUUUUUGUGUCUCCUACAAAUUAAAAUCAAUUUUGCAGCGUUUCAAUUUGAAUCAAAUUAUUUUUGAUGUGAAGUGAGUUACGUACUUAUUAAAAUUAAAAUUUUAUCCAACUUUAUAUAUCCAACUUUACAUAUACAAAUUCUAAAGACAAUAGCAACAAUUCUAAUGCAUAAACAAUUGUAUUCAACCUUGGUUACUUAAGAGAACUUGCUACCAAACUUGCUACCAAACAUAUAAAUAAUUAGAAAGUCCUAAUCUUUUUAAUAAAAAAAAUUGUUGAAAUAAAAACCUUUGCAAGAAUAUUAUAUAUAAUCAAAAAUAUAUUUUUUCAAUUAUUUUAAGGAUAAUAAUCUUGAUAUUUAUAAAUAAUAAUAAUAAUAAUAAUAAUAAUAGUAUUUUAUUUUUUAAGAUAAGAUUUAGAUAAUCACAAAAUAAUUCGAAAAUAAUGACCAUUUAAAAUAAUUCCAAAUAGAAAUUAAUAUCCUUCUUUUUAAUUUUGUUCUAUUAUUAUAUUAUAAAAUUUCAUACUUAUAUUUUAUUCUUUUAAAUUCUGUUUUUUAUUUUUUUAUUUUCCUAUUAGCUAUAUCUAAAUUUAUACAUAUACAUGUAUACAAAUGACUUUUCUUUUCUUCCAAAAUUCACCAUUUUAUUUGAUAUUUUCUAAAUAAUAAUAUAUCUGACUUAUCAAUUUAGCACCUAUGGUAGCCAAGGCUUAAAUUUAGAAUGUAAAUUUAUGUGAUAAUAUUUUGUUUAAAAUAUAAAAAUAACAUGAAAUUAUUUUUUAAAAUUUUUAAAAUUAUAGAUGUAGAUGAAAUGAGAAAUAUAACUUCUAAUAAUUUAUAUGAAUUUUUUUAAUUUUAGCAUCUCUAAUAUUAAAGAAAAUUCACUUUUAAAAGAAAAUAAAUAAACAUAUGAAAGUAUAAAUUAUAUGGCUCCAAAGGCAUAGGACAAAUUAAUAUAUAUAUAUAUAUAUAUAUAUGCAUUUAAAGAAAAUGUUAAUUUUUUGUUAUAUUUAAAUCUAGAAUUUUUGUCCCCUUUUCCUUUAUUUUUGUAAAAAAUAUAUAUAUAUAAAUAAACAAAUCAUAUAAAUAAAGUUUUUAAGUAUAAAACAAUUGUGAAAAAAAAAAAAAAAAAAAAAAAAAAAAAACUUUGAUUGAGGGAGUCCUUUGGGUGUUCGGCAAGGAUGUGGAGCUUUGGAAGCUAGGAAUUUGCAGCGUUCCAGUGCAAACUUUGGCCACAACUCUCAAUUACAGACCAAAGUUAUAGCUUAGACAAGUCAUAAACAAAUCAGGUUAAAUUACAAAUAUUUACAAAUAUAAUUGUGGAUGUCCUUGGAUCACAUUACAAAAUCCUUCAUAACAUAGAACAUUGCAUGUAUUCUAAUGUCUUUCUAAAGCAUAAAAACCAACCAACAUGGUUCUAAAACCUUAUAUAUUUGAGCAAUCUCAUUUUUUCAUACUUUAUUUUUGUCCUUUUAUCAUUAUUAUUUUUAAUGUUUUUAUUUGAUUUCUGAUUUUUUUUACAUCAUUUUAAAAUUGAGUGUUUUAGUUUUAAUUUUUCAAGUUUAUGUUUUUUUACAAAUUUUUGAUGCCAUUGUGACUGUCUAUGAAUUUUUGAGAUUAUAUAUUGGACAGGUGCUUACACCUUUUACACAUAUACACAUGUUUUUUAGAAAUCUUUUGCAGCUCACACAAAAAAGAAAUACUAUUGAUUAUUAUUGUACAGCAAGAAUUACACAAGUGCAAUUUGCAUUUACCAGUGGUGAAACAAGACAUAUCAAGCAUUAUUAAAGGAGCAUGUUUGAGUCAUUACACAUGAUUUAAAUAAUGGUAUAUCACAUUCUGCAAUGCAAUAAUACUUAUCAUACGAAUCCAGAUGGACAUCAUUUAAUCUUUUGAACUCUAUAAAAAGUCCUAAUAUACAAAACUGGACAAUUUUCACUAUUAUCAUUUAUUGCUAGUGCGUGUAGAUAAUAAUCCAAACCCCAACAUGUCUUUUACCAUUCAUAGUAAAAUUCAUUCAUUCAUGCAACUUUUUUGAAGUGUACAACCAUUGAAUUCAACUUUCUCCUGUGCUCUAAAACCUUUCUGCACUAUUUAGAGUGGCCUUUCGUUUUUGAGUUGGCAAGACCCGGCCUCAUUACAUUCUCUGUACUACCAUUUUGGACACUACCUCUCAUAAAUUUCAUGAUUUAACACUCGAAAGUGUACCGAGAUAUUCAAACUUGAUACAGUUUUAGACUUCGUUUUGCUUUUGCGAAUGGUGUGCUAGUUGCAUCCUUGAAUCCAGACCUCGUUGCAGCAAAAAUUCAAAGCCAUUUCUGAAGAGGGAAUAAGUAUGGGCAAUCAGUGUAUCUACUAAACAAGGUCACUUCGCUCCCCCUUCACAGAGGAGAGAGGAUAAGAAAAAAGAAAAAGAAACAAUACUGGAAUACAAAUAAAUCCGUGAACUGUGGGCCUGAAUGUGACAGCGUCUGUUUCUAUCGCCUAGCCUUUCCUGACACGGUUUUUCGAACUGCUCCAACAGAAACUAAAAACUCGUCAAGAGAAAAGAGGGUUUUCAUGUCAGCGUCAGGGAAAAAAGAUGAUGCUUUGCUGAAAAUUGUGGCGAGAGAAAAGCCAAACGCGGGUGACUUGUUCUCCACCUCUGGUAAAAGUUCAUCAAGGAAGUUGAAGGCAAUCCUCAAGUCACGUCCAUCUGCAGGUAUUGGAGCUGAGAAAUGGCAAGGAAUGAUGGACUUGAAUUUCCAGUCUUUUAUAAUACGGUUUACCCAGUCCUUGACCUGCAAUACAGAACACAGGGUGAGUAAGUCUAAGACCACGGCAUUCCGAGUUCGACCGAAAAUGCUUUAAGUAUUCUAAUUAGAAGAACUAGAUUAUGCAAGCCUGUUGUCUAAGAAUUCCUAAUUUACCCCUUGGCGAACCAGGAAAAACAUUAAUGUACACGUUUCAAACAAAAGCAUAAUCAAGUUGAGAUUAUCGUACCCGCUCAGGUUCUUUGCUAAAUACAAGUGUUUUAACUAUAGGAGAGACGAUGAGCUUCUUCGACAUGGUUGCAAAGCUCUGCUGCGGCUCUAGCAAGUCCGCCGGACCGAGGAACAAAAUCUGCAAUACCAUUCUUUCCCAACCUGACACCAGAAAAGACCCUGGUUCAAAAGAGAGAGAAAUUCCUCGCGUCGAAUGGAGGCAAUCAAAAUCCUACAUAACCAAAGACACAAACUUUGCAUACGCAGCAGCUAGUCACCUUUGUAGCUUGUCAUAAAUGUAACACAAUGUGUACCUCUUUGUCUGGUGGCUUCAUCAUCAACAAUUGGAUCGUCGGGAAUUUCCUUGCCAGCACUCAAGAUUCUCACUGCCAGCCCAUUUUUUGCAGCAUCCAGAAGCGAUUGCUUACCAACCACUUCCGGGGGUUUUUCUGGAACAUAAAUGACCGCAUCUGUCACCAGCAAUGUUUUGGACUUUUUGUGGAAAAAUGCCACCUCCACAUAUGGACCAAUACCUGACACAAGGGAGCACUGAGAGUUUUAUAAAAUUGCAUCAUAACAAUUCCAGGGCCACCACGGCUCAACGACAAAUGUCAAGGUCAUUGUGCAAAUUCCAUUUUAUUGAUAAAUAUUUUUAAAAAUGAAAAUAAAAAUGAUAAUAAACAAGUAAAUAAAGGGUAGUCAAGUUUGAAAUCAACAAAGACAUGAGCAGUCUUUGCGAGUCUUCAAAGUCCUUGCGACUUACCGACUGGGCAACUGAGGACUUUCUGAUCGAUUUCGUCGGCCCAUGGAGCAGAGAAGUCGUCAUCACGUAGGGUCUUGGGCUUAAAAAUGCCAAAGAGCUGCACUGGGAGGUUGAUAGGCCAGCUCCAUUGUCGGGGUGCCACCCAGACCUGAGCUUUAGGAAAUUUGCGCGAGAAAGGUCCGACGAAUAUCUUGUGCUCAUACGCGAAAGUCGGCAGGACAAUGUACUCCACUGGCGCUUCCAACUCUUUCAGAAGCUGUCACCCUCCAACACAUGAAAUCAUUCCCACCAGCCUCAGAUUUACAACAAGGAACCAAUGGUGCAUUCAAUAGUUCGAAACUGCAGAUUGAGUAUAUAGUUUCGGCCCCAUAGAAGUACCUGGAUGCAUUCUUCCGUGGGUGCAAUCGGAGCGUGAACCCACAACCCUCCAGAUUUCAGCAUGAUUACCGUCAUGCGAGUAUUGGUAGCCACACUGCUGAAGCCCAAUGCCUGCUCCUGCUCAAACGUCCAUAUUCUGCCUUUCUCUACCUACAAGGAAUCCUUAAAGAUUUAGACAAAAACAGGAUGAUACGAGGGCAAUAGACGUUCUCACGUUGAAUAUGUCUUGGUGAUGCUCGGAUUGAAUAAGCAUUACGUCGAAAUUAGGACAAGACAAUACACUAACUCUGGAUUGAAAUGAAUUGGAAACCCUAAUAUUACCUCUUUCCUGAUGGUGCGUCUCUGCAGGAAGGGGCCCAAGGGGAAGGGGAAGCCAGUGACGUUGAAGUAGAAUCGACCAGGAGUACCCUUCUUUUCUACAACAGACAUGACACGAAUGGAGCUCGCCCUCCUUCUAUUUUCCCCGGCCAUGUCAGAACAGCUCGUAGAAUUCCCUGUUUGUGAGGAUAGCUGCACAUUAUCUGCGCCCCAGAAUUCCGACGAUGCGUAGCUCAGGCAGGAAGAGGAUUUUUGAGACAUCCCCCAUGAAGACGAGCUCUGCACCGAGAUGGGCGCUGCUGAAAACUGCGACGACACUCUAAGCUUGGAUUCAGAGCCUUGAUGCAACUCACAGGAAGCACAAGACCCAGACGGUAAAACAUGAGCUUCCACCUGUAGAGCCGUGCCGAGACGCACACCGGCCAUGGCUGCACUCAUGCAGUAUCCAAUUCCUCAAUUCACAACACCUGCAUGCCAACAACACUCACUCUCCCGAACUACCACUCCAACUCGGCCCCCACCCCCGCAAGCUUAAGCAGGCAUCGUAUCGCGAGCUGCGCGCAGCACAGACAUCGUUCCAAGUGUAUCUAUCUAUGCAAGGAAACAGAACCUCCGUGAAGCGAAAACAACAAUGUUGCUGCAGCCCCAGCCACAAGUUUGUCGAGAGCAGGUGGGAUGACAUCAUCCUGGAAUCGUUGGAAGCAAAUGGGGAAGUGAAUGGGGCGCAAUGCGGAGUGCGGCAUUAGAUGAAUUGCAGCUCCGAUGCUUCCACGUCGAAGAUGGGAGACCACCCACUUUUUGCCUUACUUCGUGCCGCAUUCCUCCUCCUCUCGCUCUCAUGCACUGCCUGAAUUGGUUUUCUUUUUUCUUUUUUUUUCUGUUUUUUUCGUGUGUGUGGGGGGGGAGAUCUUUCAACAAAACGAGAAGUUUCUUCUUGACCCACAUUCAUGGUAAAAGAGCUUGGAACAGUAAAUUGAGAUUCCUCCAUCUCUCAGCAACGCGGCGAUCUACACUAGCCAGCCUUGGUUCCAUUCUGCGACGGAGAUGUGCGUGUAUGUGUGGUAGUGUUACCGUCGAAGCGACGAACGAAAAGAAGACGAGAACGGACGAACGGACGGACGAGAGGGAGACGGCUUUGAUAUAAGUACUAUAUCAAAGGACACCCCUUAUAGCAACAGCUAUUAUAGUGCAUUGUGCAUGAAGUUUAUUUGGGACAAGUUUGAUAAGACAACCAAUCAAAAGGCCAAUUUAUCUCCUAGAUUUAUUCUUCGGUUUAUAUCCCUCUUGAUGUGUUUUACAUAAUAAAUAGGAGUGCUCUUGUAUUGUGUUUUUUUUGGCAAAGGUUAAGGUUUUAUUGUGAGGAUUUCAAUUGUAAAUUAAUCCAAUAUAAUCAUUUGAUUUUAUUAUGUUUUUGAGGUGUUUUGGACCUAUUUUGGUAAAAUAUGUAUAUAUAUAUAUAUAUAUAUAUAUAUAUAUAAUAGUUUUGGUUUUUUAGUCUUUGGGUAUGUAUGUGUAUGUAUAUAUAUAUAUAUAUAUAUAUAAUUUUAAAAUUACAUAUAUACAUACAUACAUGCUAUAUAAUAUUAUUAUAUUUUAUUUAAAUUUUUUAUUUUUAUUUUUGUAUUUUCUAAUGUAAGAUUGUUGAUAUACUAGCCAUUGUUGACAAUAUUUUUGGUAUAAAAACAUAAUAAGAUCACAUUUUAAAAUAUUUUACAUAAACAUAUAUACAAAAAUUAAUCAAAUUUUAGUAAACAAAUAAAAACACAUUAAAUUAUUAAAUUAUAUAUAUAUUAGUAAAACAAAUUAUAGCAAUAUUUAGAAGGAGAAGAUUUUUAAAAGUUUAAUAUUUUUCCUUUUUUAAAUUAAUAUCAUACAAAUACAUGUUACAUUAUUUUAUGUUUUGAAAUAAGUUUGUGUAGUUUAAGAUUAAGACAAGCACAUACACAUUCUAUUUCAUUUGAAAAAAAUAUGUAAAAAAUAUAUUGAAAAAAAUUUGCAAUUGUAGACAAGAAUUAGUCUCUUGUCGCAUAAAUGCUAAACAUAGGACUAGAUUAUUAGUUUUGUAACAGUGAUCAUAUUACAUUAAAUUGUGUACUUGCAAAUUCACGAAAUGUAAGCACUUUUACGACCUCAUAGUGUGUGUGGUAAGUUGAAAACUAUUCAAUCAAGAAUGCUGAAGAAUGGAAUUGUUUCUUCCAGUCAUUGAAUCACAUUGACAUCAUUUUUGGCUGCUACAAUCAAUGAAGUAAAAAUGUUGUAUUACGGUCGUUUAAAAAAAAUCAUUGACACUGAAGAUUUCUAGCUAGCGCAGGAUAUGGUAGGCUUGUCAUGAUAUAUCUGGCAAAGAAUCGGAACUGAAAGAAAUGUUGGUGUUUCAUAAUUUUUUGAGAAAACAUCAUGAAUUGGAGUAUAAAGAUUCAGCGGUUACACGUACACAACUAUAAGACGAUUGGUAUGUGACCUCCCUGAGGCAGAUACGUGCUUUCGCAUCGGGCUUGUCUGGUGUUCUGUGGCUGCGAACUACAAAAUUUCAAAUUAUGGAGCAGCAAGUUCAGGGCUUCUCCGGCUUGGAUUCGAGGUUGGAUUUGCUAGCUUCGCAUACUUGACAAUUUGUCCGUUGACAAUCUCCUGUCUUGUGAUAGAUAUAUCAAGCUGGCGUUCAAAUUUGCUCAAAACAAAUUCUUCCCUUGCUUCACAUACUGAUAUAACUGUUCCUUUGCGACCCAGUCGACCUGUUCGACCACCCCUGUGUGCAUAGUGGGAUCCAUCUGUUGGCAGCUCUAAGUUGACAACAAGGUCGCAGGUGGGAAUAUCUAAGCCUCUUGCACCAACUUCACUAGUUACCAGGACUCGCAACUUUCCAUUACGAAAGGAGUUCAAGAUAUUGGACCUCUCCAUUUUACUCAAUUCGCCAUGAAGCGCGCCUGCACCAGAAAGUAAAUGUUUGUUACGCAUUUCAACGAAAAAUAAACGGUGAAUAAUCACAUCCACAACAUCAGGGCUACGGAUGACCAUCCAAGUGCAUCACUAGGUGGAUCAAAUAUUUGUAGCCUGAAAACUUAUGCAAAACCAAAACGCCAUGAAACCUAGUAAAAUGGGCUGGGUACAAGGAUGUAGAGUAGGAGCAUGUACCUGCAGUAAGGCCUCUUGCUUCCAGCUUGAACUGAACGUCUUUCAAACGACGAGAAUGAUUCAGAAAUACAAUAACAGAUCGUGCUUCCAAAGCGUGAAUGCUCUUCCUCAAAAUAUCAACAUGAUGUCUUAAUGAUGCCACCACAUAGAAAUGUUCUAGAUUGGGGGGUAAACUUUCCUUCGCUCCUUGUAAAUCUGGAGAAACAGUAGAUUCUUUGGUCUCCGAGUCAAUGGAAGAAGGUUCCACUCUAAAAUCUUCGACCCGUAUGAUGGAUUGAGCUCGAACAAGAAGAGGCCGGUGGCCCCAUACGGCUGCCGCUCUUAAAACUGCUUGGGGCAUUGUUGCAGAGACCAAAAGAGUCUGGCGCUCCACCCUCCUGUACAAACAGACGAAUACGACAUCCAUCAUUGAAGGAACUGUGAUAUGAAGGUGAGACUAACUAGCCCAGUCAUAAGUUCUGCAAGACUAAUGCAGCAUCAUUCGCUCGAUGUGUUAGAAAUUACCCAAGAACCUACUAGCAUAAAUUAGAUGACUACAUCUUAACAUGAAGAGAAUUCGUCAUACUUCUUCGCUGGUUUUGCUGGUGCUUCUUCGCUGGUUUGAGUUGCUGUACUGGACUCAGAUACUGAUGGAGUUUCGAAAGAAUUGGGCAUAGCAGUAGAAACACUUCGGCGUUGGCCCACGUGUUCCAGUAUUCUGCGCAUGUCGCUGCGAAACUUGAUUGAAAGCAAUUGGUCAGCCUCAUCGAGGACUAAAAACCGGCAUCCAUGCGUGUGGAGUUUUCCAGCCUUGCUGAUCUCGGAAAUUCUUCCUGGUGUUCCCACUACUAUGCAAGGUUUGUUCUUCUUUAAGGCUUCCUCUUGCCGACUCUGAUUUGCACCCCCAAUCAACUGCUGGACAACUUUUUUGUACUCAGAGCCUAAGAUGCGUUCAGCCUCCCUUACAAUCUGCAUAGCUAAUUCUCGUGAAGGGACCACAAUAACAGCCUCAAUACCACCCCUGUUGAUGGUUUCAUCUGUGAUAGCCUUACCCCCUUCAGAUAGCUCCCUCAGAGGCCCAACUCGAGAGAGAAUGGGAAGCAAAUAAGCUAGAGUUUUACCCGACCCUGUGUAUGACUGGAGUGCUGCAUCAUGCCCAUCCAAAAUUGUGGGAAUUGCUGCUACCUGCUUAGCAAAAGGAUGGAGUAAGCGAGUGCAAAAGAAUCUACAGUUUAAUAUCCAGAUUUCAGACUUCCACAUUUCUACCAUAUUACAAUUAGUCAACAGGCUUCUACGUUUCUAGUUUCAAGUAAGUGGGAUGAGUCUAAACCCUAAACCCCAUGCAUAGUACCUAAUUUAGAUAACUUUCGGCAUCUGAUCUUAAAACCUAAAUAACUCGCUCAAGACAAUUCUCCAAUGCGUUUACGAUGAAGAAAAAGAGAUGAGUUAUUUUGUGCUAGUAGAUUCUACGAACCGAUACGUUGGAAGACCACAAACCAAUCGAACCAUAACUAGGAGCAAAAUAAAGAACGUACCUGCACGUCAGUAGGGAGUUCCACCCUCUCCUGCUUCAACCUCUGCAGCACACGCCUCGAGAGAUUCAGAGCAGAGAAUUCUUUCUCCGCAAAAGGAAAGGAGCGAAUAUCGACAGGAGGUGCUCUUGCAACAACCUUAGCCUUCACACUCGCCUUUCGCUUGGCAGCCCUAUCCACCACACUGUCAAGCCUGGUAAGAGAAAGGCCGCCGUCGUAGAAAUCGCUCUUGGAAGAACUGGUAGAAGGAUCAUUAACAGAGGAACCAUAUCGGGCCGUCGUAAUACGAGCGAAAUGUGGAGAAUGGAGCCGCGUGGGGUGAAGGCGGGCGAGAGCUCGGUGUACACCAGCGUGAAGUGAUGAAAGCGGUCCUGCGGUGGCGCGCAUCGAAAUGGACAACGCCAUUGUUAACUAUGCUUUCACCUACCAAGAAAAAACCCUGACAAGCAUCUUCAGCUCUGCGAAUCAACGCCCCCUCCCACCCACUCAGUGACGAAAACGCGAUUAUAACAAAACAGUGCGAAUUGUAGCCUUGGUCUCGUUGAGUACUCUUCUCCCACCAUCACUACGUACGUAGCAACAAGUCACAACUGGUAUGCAGCAUGCAUAUCGUAUAAACCUCCCACCAAAACAAGCUCAACACAAUCUGCAUCGUAACCAAGACCUGUUCCUUUCCGAGGGCUAUCCUUACUUACCUGCACAACGAAAGAAAAUGUACAUAUAGGAUGUCUAUCAUGGUAUCUUCAUUACCUAAGUUAAUUUCGUAGACCCAAUGAAGAGCGCGAAUAUUCUGGCAACAUCCCUUUCCCGAGGCUUUCCAUACAAUUACAAUUACCACUCAAGAAGCACAAAUUCCACUUCCAGCCGCUUAUGUCACUGGAUUGUGAUGUUUCCGGUGAGUCUUUCGAUGUAACUGGUGAGUUAUGGUGCUGCUUCGCUCACGCGAAAUCUUAACUUGAAUCAUCAGGUUUCAAUAAACUUGGGACAGAGUUCACGAAGUCACGGAGAGCAACAGUACAAAUUAGAACCAUCUGUAAACCGAGCAGAAGCGCGAGUUUGUGAUCACAAGAGCAAGUCAACUCAACUCCCUCCAUUCUUCAUCUCUUCUCAUUUCAUAUUAUGUACCUCGAUCUACCUCGCAAGCUCACAUUGUUUCCAUUCGCCUUAAUUGAGGUGGCUGGCGGCCUUGUAUCCCGCAGUGAAGUAAUUUUCCAGACGACUGUGCGAUGCAAAUUGUGCAACUUCAACUUGUACAUGCUUAAAUGUCCCCACAAUUUGAGCAAGGUUUGCAAGAAAUUGGCCUACACCCUGCGAAUGAUUAGAGUUUGACCUCCAAAUUCUCAUGUGUUUUGCCGCAGCCAAACCAAUUUAUGUGUCUUGCAACCGCCAUGGUGUACAGAUCUCUUGGACCAUCGGUGGCUUCAAGACAUCACCACACUUCAUGUCACUUUUGUCAAUUUAUCCAUGCGAAAUUUAUGGAUAAAUACAUCAUCUGCAUGUUACAAACGACCUGACUGCCAAGACGUGGUUAAUGAAGGUCGGCGUCAAUCCGACAUGAUAAAUUUCAUAAAUCUCCAUCGAAGGAUCAGUAUUCCAGCCAGAUACCUCCCCUUGUCGAAGCAGUAGGAUCACCAUUAGUUGUUCCUUGAUCCCGUAUCCAGCAACCUCCACUACAAACGAAAAAACAGUAAACCAAUCACUCAAUCAUGCAAACAUCUCAUCUCCCCUUUCGAGAUCCCGAACACCACCAUUUCGACACAUCUCAUUAAAUUUUGCCGCAACGUAGUGAAUAAUUUCACCCUGGGCCAGAAAAUUGAUCCAUAAACCACAGAUCGAGGAAAAACCAACUCUCGCAAUCGUAAUUGAGGCAUGCAAACGCAGGAUCUCGCAAUGCGAGCUGACUGCGGCAAUGCCAUGGCCACACAAGACACUUCUCGUCGUCGGCGGCGCCUCACGCAGCUGAGCAAUCGUCGUUGACACCGACGGAAGCGAUGGAUGUCUUCCGGUCCGGCUCCAAUCCGUCGGUUUCAUGGACGUGGACGUUUGCCGUCUUCGUCGCAUCUUCACGUGAUGGAUCUACACACUUCCCUCCAAAGCAUCAACGAAAUGGAUGAAUAUGGAAUUUUCUCCGUCCAUGCCCCUGCUAUAUCAACGAUUGUUGUAACACAAGUUGAACGAACGAAACUGGCGGCUUCGUUGGUCCGGUUGCUCAAAAGCAGGACUAUGUGAUAGGGUUAGAACUUACCGCUGGACUACCUUGGAGGUUAAAUGGUUAAAAUAAAAAUGCACAAGAUGGUGCUAAAAUUGGUUUAUUUUUAUUUUUAUUGAAGUCUUUGUAAUUGGCUAUAGAAAGGGGGGGGGUCUUUCUUUAAGUUUAUGUUCCUUGCAAAUUUAUAACUCUUCAAUAUAUGCAUCGUUUAUACCGACGAAUUUUAUGAUGUGAUGUAAAAAACUCUCUAACCUACUGUGUAUAUUAAUUCAUGGUGUUUAAUCUUACUUAAAUUAUGCAAUAUUUAAAAGAUAUAUAUACUAUACAAUUAACAUUGUGACUAUUACAAUCAAAACAUAAAUGUCGGAUAUGAUAAGGACUUUUAUCAUUGAGUAUACUACAUGUUAGAAUUAUUCAAGAGAGUUGUUUUGUAUAUUAUUCCUUUUUAAAAUGUAAAAUGUGUGUACAAUUUUUACGCAUUGUUGUGUACUUGUUUUUACUCAAUUCAAAUACGAGUCGUAAAAAAUCUAGCAUAAAAAAGGGGUGUAUAACAUGUCUUCUCAGCUUUUUGGUUUUUGUUUUACAAUUUGAAGAGUUUGCAAUCCUUUUCAUUCAUCAGUAUAAAAGCAACAUUAAUUCAAGUUGCAUAGGUUUUUUGUAGCUGAAAUGUUUAGACACGAAAUACUUCCAUGUAAUUCAUUCAACAGUAAUUACACAGGAAUACAUGUAUGUACUUAUUCGACAUCUGAUUAAUAGAAGGUACUAACAUAUAUAUAUUUCAUAAAUUGACUCCAUGCGUAUUAAUGUAUGCAUUGAAUUUUUGAACUACAUUAUGUACUUUAUUUCUUUACAUGUACAUGUAUGUAUAUAUGUACUCCCAAAUAUACAUAUAUAUUCUCAACGGAUGUAUCUAGUGUUCCCUAAAUUCAACUUGCAAGUAACCUAAUAUAUACUCAUAGGAGUGAGGAAAAGAACAAAACUUUAACAACCCACUAUGAAAACAGCACAAUAUGAUUUUCUGAUUUUCUGAUUUUUUUAUAUAUUUGAUAAUUAUAGUUUACUAAUUGCUCCUAUGAUAUUGGUAUCAUGAUAUUCCUUAUGUGUUUGAGUAAUUUAUCAUUCAUGUCCAUUUCACGAAGAGCAUCCAUCCACAUCAUGAACGAAUGUUGAAGUGCUUGAUAGAUGAAUGAGAGAUGCGAAAUUUGUCAUCCUCAUGCGCACCUCAGGGAGGUAGGGAUGAAUGAUCUAAGUGGAUGAAGAUGACAACUUUACAACGGACGAUGUUCGUUCAUUGGGCUGAUUAGGGUUUGGAGCCCACUCCAUGAAGGCUGCGGGAGCUCAAGCUUGAAGGUCUUUAGGAUUUCGACGCUUCUGUUGUCGGGUCGUGCCGAUUAGCUGCACCAGAGUAGUUGUGGGGGGUUUUUAUUUUCUUUCUAAAAGGAUUUACUUGUAAUUUGACGACGUGAGUCGCUAUGGCGCCCAAGCCGGUUCGAGCGAGUCGCAAAACAGAGCUUGUGCGGGGCAUCGGCCGCAACGGCAGAUCCAAGACCUACCACAAGCGUGGUCUGUGGGCCAUCAAGGCCAAGAACGGUGGCAAGUUUCCCAUUCAUGAGAAGAAGGCGGUUGCUGAAACUCCCGCUGUUCGUGCUCCCAAGUUCUACCCCGCUGACGAUGUAGCCAAGCCCCUGCACAAGAACAAGGUCAUCAACCCUCCCAAGUUGAGGUAAGUCCUGUAAGGUUUUGGGUUUUCAUUUUGUUCGUGCUGUUAGUUAUUUUCUGUCAGUGUUAAGGUUUGGAGGACCGCAGUCUAAGAAUUUGGUUAAACGCCGACCCUCAGGGCUUUUCAUUGGGGUUUUGGGUUCUGGAAGGAAGUCAGUGUCUUUUUUCGGAUAUGCGAUCACAUUAUAGUUAUAUUUAUUGAUUCCAGAUUUCCACGAGGGUUUGAGUUGGUGUAUCAUUAAGUUGAGUUAGUGUAUCACUGAGGGGAGUUCAGUUUCAUGUCAUUCACUCGGAUGUAGCUAAGACCGAGCUGAAUGAGGAUGGGGAUGCUUGUCUCAGUAAUCAGGGUGGGGAGUCAAGUUCUCUUACCUGCAGAUUGAAAACAAGAUGCAUAGCAGUGUUCUUCUUUUACUACGGGCGAUGAGAGUACAUAAGGUGACUUUUUUCCACAUUGUGUACGUUAAUUUGAGAUUCAUUUCUUGUUUGGAUGUGCAGGUCAAGCAUCACUCCAGGGACCGUUCUGAUUUUGUUGGCUGGCCAAUUCAAGGGCAAGAGAGUUGUGUUCUUGAAGCAGUUGGAAUCCGGGCUCCUAUUGGUUACGGGUGUGUAAUUCUAUUCAUUCAGCGUUAACAUUCUGGUUGUAUCCUUGGUUUCAGGCCAUUAAGUGAUGGUGACGCACCCCUUUCUCAUCCAUGAAAAAACUAAAUCGCAGCACAACGGAAGAAGAGUAGUGGACACGAGCAACCUCUAUUGUGUUCCGAUUCAUUUCAACCAAUCCUAGAAUCGAGUUUUAAGGUCAUUUAUCGUAAAUAUUUUUUGCGGUAUGAUAAAUUGUUUUGUGUUAUUCAGGACCAUUUAAGGUGAACGGUGUCCCGUUGAGAAGAGUGAACCAGGCCUACGUUAUUGCCACCUCAACUAAGUUGGAUGUGUCAUCUGUUGAUGUUACCAAGUUUUCCGACGCUUACUUCAAAAGGGAAGUCACCAAGAAGAAGAAGGGAGAGACUGAAUUUUUUGAAGCUGAAAAAGAGGUGCGUACCCAUCUGCUUGUCUAAUCUCGAUUGUUAAAACCUUUGAUUUGAGUGGCUUAAUUUGGUGUUGCGGUUGAAGAUGAAUGUAUGUGCAGCUGUUUAUUGUGUAUUAUGUUGAAUAUUAAAUCCAUAUGUUGAUCUAUUUGAAUGUAGAAUGAAGGAAACACCUUACCAGAGGAAAAGAAGGAGGAUCAGAAGGCAAUUGAUGCCAAGCUCAUCCCUAUUAUUGAAGCAGUCCCAGAAUUGAAAGCUUACUUAGCUGCCAGGUUUAGCUUGAAGUCUGGUGUCAAGCCACAUGAGCUUGUGUUUUAAGAAACCACAAUUCUCGGUUUAGUGCAGCGACAAAUGGCUGAUGUCUCAUAAUCCAUAUAAGUUUGUUAUAUUACCACUCCUGUGUGGUUUGAUGUCUACCAAUUGUAGUCAACCGUCUGUGGAUCGCAGUGACUUUCCGUCUGGGUGAAUGGUGAUUGCGUUCGAUCUGAUCUAUGUAUGACCAUGAUUCAUCGGGAGUAGUUGAAAAUCUGCAGUAGUUCCCUGAUAUCUUUUUCAUCCAGAACCAGACAUUAAGGGUUUAAGGUUUUACCGGGACAUAAGUAUAGCUGGCCUUUCAGGCACCUAUCAACACAAAUGACAGUACUGUUGCAGAAUAUAACACUCAUGAAUAAGAUAUGCACACAGAUUAACCGACUAAGCAAAUGAAGGCGAAGAGCUAGUGUAAUGAUACCGGUGCACCUCAUUGAACGUCCGAAUUUUAUGCUCCAAUGUAUCAGAUGUGUGCGAAGGUAUGUACCAUGGAUUUUCUAAAUGUGUAGCUCUAUCGAUAACCGUGGUUCCGCACUGGAAACGGUGAGUGUGAUUGUGUCGAUAGGUGCAGUGAAUGCCGUUUAUUAGAGGCAUAAUUAUUAGCAUGCGUGAAUAUUACCUGCAAACAAGAAGACACAACUAACUUGAUAAAUCUUUUCAGGCCUUCAAAGUAAUGGAGCAAAUAGUACAAGACCAAACCAUUUCAGCACAUGCAACUCAAAACUGACAAAUUGUAAGGAAGAAAAAUAAACAAUAUUACAUGAAACGAACGAUAUACCUAUGUUUGUAUCAAUCGACAUAUCAUACCUUAAUUUAUUAUUAGUUGAAUUGUUAUUCAGAAUUUGUAUCAUGUUUACUACGCUAUCAUAGUGAGUCCUGCUAUUUGACAGUUGAUUCCCUUUGUGGCCACGGGGGGUUCUUUUUGCUACAUUUCAAGAGAUUGGGAGCUUCUGGGGAUUAAUCUUCAAAUGUAGUUAACCCAUGCAAGAAUUUGCUAAUUUGACUCCUAUGUGCAUGUAGGAAACUGUGUAGGAUUCCAACAGGAGUGGGAGCUUUGAAACUGUGAGGUAUUUAUCAGUAAAUAAUUUCAGUAAUAAGAACUCUUCCUCUCAAAGCGUGAGUGAAACAUGCAGUAUGACAAAUUGAAAUCAAGGGUUAUAUAUAUACAUAUAUAUAUUAAAUUUAAUUUAAAUAAAAACAAAUAAUUUUUUAACAAAAAUAUACUCUUUUUAAAUUGUCAUUUUUUAUUCAAAUUGACAGAUCUAACAAACUCAAUAAAAUGUAUAGAUUUUAUUUUAAUUUAUUUUUUAUUGGAAUUGGAAAAAACAAAUAAAUAUGUCAAAUGAAAGGCAGAUUGUGGUGGUAAGAACAAAAAUUAUGGUGGCAUUAACAAUAUCCUAAAUAUACAUUCACUACAUAGUGAAAAUAUGUGUCCUUGUUGUUUCAUCUUUCCUAGUGAUGCCCUAAAAUGGUGUUAGUAAUGAGAAAGUGAUGCUUUCAUGUUGGAUUCCACACUAUCAAAAUUAUUAACUUCCGCAAGUGAUAAAAAAAAAAUCAAUUCAACAGUAUUUGGAAACUUUCACUUAGUCAUGCAGAAUUUUACAUAACAACUUUGAAACAUUCAUAUCAAUGCUUAAGUUUCUUUUUCUUUUUGAAUUUCAAGUUUAUUCUUGUUGUUGUUAUUGUAAAUAUUAUUACUAGCAAAGAUAUUUAUACGACAUUAGAUUUGAUGUGCUCAAUAUUUUUCAAUAUAGAUAUGCAUUUGAAAUACAAAAAUCUGGCUUUAAUUAUAAUUCACGUAUAUAAAAUGUAUAAAAGUGACAUUAGGCUAUAUCCAACUGUUAUACUUUAAUGAAAAAAUGAAACUAUCAGCUAAAAACAUAUUUCAACAUUUAUUCUUGUUCAAACACUUCCUUUUCAUUCCAAAAAUUAAGAUUUAAAGCAAAUAUUGUAAAUAUGUAUGACCAAUCAUAGGUAUCCAUUUCAUCAAGUAUUAAAAUAAAAUAAAAAAAUAAAAAAAUAAAAAAUGUUACUUCUGAACUUGAGGUCAUCAAGUUUUUAAAGACAUUAUACAUGUGAUUGUGUGUGUGUCUAUAUAUUAUUACGAUUAUUAUUAUUAUUAUUAUAAAUCAUCACUUUUAUGACAAACAUAUUUUCUAAAAACAUUCUUCUUUUGUGGGUUUAUCUUUAAAUUGCACUGCAGUCAAAAAUCAAAAGGAAAAAUAAUUGUGCAUAUUUUAUCAUUUAUUCACUUUAAUUAUUCAUCCUUUUUGUUUUGUUACAUUUUUGGAAUAAAGUUUGGAAUAGUGUGCUUCUAUUCUAAAAAUGCAAAACAAACCUUUAUUCACAAACCUUGCCAUCCCUCCCCCACGUGCUUUUAUGAAAUCGUAUUUUCUUUUUCUCUCUCUCUCUCUCUCUCUCUUUGUCUCUUUCUUUAUCCAGUUUUCUUUUUUCUAUCUCGUCCAGCUGAUCUUCAACUUCUAUUUGAUAUUUCGAGGCAUGGUUACAUAUUUUCCAACCUCCAUUCACAUAUUGUUGCUCUUUUGAGGAAGUAAAUUAAUCAAGCCCCAAUAAGUUUCCCUUUUAAAAUACAUUCUAAUGUGCUUUAAAAUACAUACAUACAUAUAUAUAUAUAUAUAUAUAUAUGGCACGCAUUGAUUAUAUGCUGUACAUGUUUUUGUUCAAAAUCAUAAAGGUGGCUUUCUACCAGUUUCAAUAUGAAAAACUGAGAAGUUUAACAUUGGGUCUUCUUUCUUUUUAAAUUUACAAAUUUGCAAACGUUAAUGGUGUCACUCGUCAUCCUUUGAUUUUUGUAGAACCUUGCUACCAGCACAAUAAUGAACAAUAUCCUCUCACAUGCACAAAGAGACCAUCAUUCUUUUCAAAAAAAAAAAAAAACAAACAAACAAAGCACAUCAGCCACAUGUUAAAAUUGGUUCUGGGACAUCAAAAAUUAGGAAACUGUGUCCAUUCCAGAGGCUUCCAUUUCCAAAACAGUAGGCUCUUAAGAUAACUCGUUUGUGGGGCAACAAUUAGAUGCCAUAUUUGUGCAUAAUAAUGGUGGGGGAAAAUGGAUGACUUACAAUGGCAGCAACUGGGAAUAGAGUAGAAGUGCAAUAAACAAGGGGCUGUAGCUUUUUAUUUGCUGAUGCACGAAAUGGACCUCGAUUUUGAGGGACAUUUUUGUAGCUGAUGUGGAAUAUUCUAUUCCAGCUCAGCAAUUUCCAAUUGCUGUGGUCCUAAUGGGAAGUGUCCAACGUGGCAUGUUUCUCGUUUUUUUAUUUGAAUGAUUAUUUUUUUUGUAACAAAACCGGAAAAAAAAAACAUCAUUCAAUGUGUGGGACUGGGACUGAAACAACUUUCAUGCUGACUUGUAGAUACUCAUGUUGUUUUGAAACAUGUUUUUCACACUAGUAUGAACCUUAAUUAAGGUUCUGAGUCUUGAUAGUUUUCUUUGUGACAAUAAAACAAGGCUCUGCUUUUUUGCAAAUAUCUGUUUCUUUGAUGUGAUCAACCAUUCAUUUUGUUAUGCAAAGUAUUAGUUGUUAAUUGUACCUUCAAAGAUCACUUCUGAAAUUGCACACAUGAGUAGUUAAUGUCACUUUCAAAACAUUUUGUAAAAUUAACUACAACAACACAUGUUGGGUUUUUGGUUAUGAGGUGAAAAAAGAGAAGAAAAAAAAAUGUUGUAAAAUGACUCAUCUAUUCAGAAUCAAAUGGCACUUGUUGGGAAUCCCAACAUAACAACAACCCCAUUCUAUUUACAGGAUACUCAAUGCUACUAUGUGCCAUUCAGUGACAGUUUAAGCUCAACCUUAAAAAAAACUGAAAUAUUUCUCAUUGUCUAUUCAAUAAAACUAGAAAAUUGUGGUAUAAAAUAACAUUUAUCUUCAUAAGUGGAACACUUGUUAAUGCCAUUACUAUUAUUAUUAUCACUGGAGCUGCUGCAACAAUUCAUUAAUAAAGAAAUCAAACCACAGAGUUCUGUUUGCAAUUCCUCGAUUCCCUAGACACUUUCCAGAUAUGCAUCUGGUGUAAUAGAAUCAACAGUAGAAGAAAAAAUAGUACUUAAAUAUAUUACAUGGUGUGCUUUUUAAAGAAAAAUGCCAUGCCCAACAUAGCACAAAUCAUACCUGAUCCUAAUACACAAAAUUGGUAAUUGCAGAGUGGGAGCCGCACUGUACAAGAAAACUGUCACAUCAUUUGUUUCUCCCUCUUUCUCCAUGUGGGUUCACCAGCACUCACGAGAACCCUAACCCUAACCCUAAAACUUGGUUCAAGUCAUACCUUGCUGUGGAACACAUGGUUCAGCAGAGGGGGACAAAAAGAGCUCAUUCAAGGUACACUUGUGUGUUUUAUUUUUUAUUUUAUUUUAUUUUAUUUAUUGAUAAACUUGAUAGAUGCCAUCCCAACUUGCUAUGUGUGAACAGGUCCUUCUGGUUGCAUUAUUUAGGGUGAGGACCGAGAAUGGGGAUUAGGGAGCCAUGGCUUUGCUGUAGUGUCAUAAUCCCUUUUCUUAAGGGGGCUCAGCCAAGCUGGCAACUUUUGUCCAAAGAUGAUAAAAAGCGCCCUUGGAAACCGGGUUUGUCAUGGUUUAUGGCUUAGAAUGCCCACAAUCCCAGUUUUAGGGCAUGACAACGUCUGUGUUGUUUUUUUUUAAUAUUACUUUAGGGUUUUGAGAUUAUGUUGUUGGAUUGAAGCUCAUGCCUUACAAAAAUUGGAUAUAUAAACUCCAAAAUGCCCAAGCAUUGCUCAAGUUGUGGAGACCAGGUGUUGGCAUUUUUGGCAAUGGUUGUCUCAACUUGGGGGCAUGUUUUGCAUGCAAAAAGUCUUUGUCUAUGGGAAGGACAAAGCCAUAGCUUCAUCCACCAUAAAUGAGGUUUUUUGAAUGGAAAUAGUCGAUUUUGAUAUCAAGAUUUUAAAAUGUUAUAUAUGGUGCAAUAUAUUAGGUGGUGUGAUUUAGACAUUGUGAACUACAACUAUUUAUGUACACAAACACUUAGAAACAAAGUUGCAUACAUGCUAUAGUUUUAGUAUGUACACUUUUUGUAUUUUGUUAUUGAUUAUUGAUCUUUGCUCUAUUCAUUAAUGUUUGUAACUACCUCACUAGAUACCAUCUUCUGUUGUGCCAUCAAAAAUGGUUGUUACACCUUUAGAUUUGUCAAGAAAUCAAGGUAGAAUUAAAUGAAUAUGU